rnacentral:lncRNA from 1 species
AACUUUGUAGUGAUGUUUUUUUUUGUUAACUUGGGAGAUGAGUUGAAUCUAACAUCUCUUGCUUUUAAGUACACUAGAGUGGUUAGUAUGAAAUUAAUUUUAAUUAAUUGAUCAAUAUAAUAUUGAUAUACAACGAAAAAUAAUCUCUUUCUGCGUAUCAAGACUGUAUUGAUAAAUUGAUCAGAAAAAAACUUACUAGUAUAAAGUUUCAUGUUAAUCGGACCCACCAACUCUUUGAAUUUAUUGUUUUAUUUUUUAUCAUUUCUACAACUGACUCGUCAUUUAUGACUCUGACGCGGCCCUAUGGGACGACGGUUUACAUAAAGGACAAGAGUUAAAUUAAUGCGCCAUGUUCAAGUAAAAAUUUUAAUCAUUAAUUACUCCAUAGAGGUGCAUGCACGAAGGUGCAUGUGGACAUGAAUACUUCUGGGGUGACGGGGAAAGGGCUACCGACUGGUUAAUUUUUUUAUUAAAAAAUAUAUAAUAUUUAUUUUAAUUAGAAUUUUUAUAAAAUUUAAUAAUUUAUGUAUAUUUUGAAUACAAAUAAGUUUUGACGGACAUUUUUAUUGGACAUGAAUAUUGAAUAUUUUUAAUUUUUUUUUUACUUGUGACUCCCAAAAAAUAUAUAGUAUUUCUUCCAACAGGAUUUUUUAUAAAAUAUAGUGUUUUAAAUAUAAUUUAGAUACAUAAACAAAAAUAGAAUUAUACAGUCUGUAUUACCCUGUUUUUAUAUAUGUAUCCAAAUUAUACCUAAAAUACUCUAUUUUAUAAAAAUUCCUAAUAUAAUAAAUAUUAUACAUUUUUUGAGUCACAAAAAAAAAAAANNNNNNNNNNNNNNNNNNNNNNNNNNNNNNNNNNNNNNNNNNNNNNNNNNNNNNNNNNNNNNNNNNNNNNNNNNNNNNNNNNNNNNNNNNNNNNNNNNNNAAAAACUGAACCUGUCCAAUAUUCUUGUCUGUGUAGCAUUACUCUUUGGAUACAUAUAAAAAAUAAUAUUAUACAAUCAAUACAAUUUUAUUUUUUUACAUGUAUCUUAAAUACACUUAAAUUAUUGAAAUUUAUAAAAAUUCUAAUUAAAAUAAAUAUUAUAUAUUUUUAGAGUAAAAAAAAAAUUGACCUUUAACCGGCCCUAGACUUAUUGAUGUGGACAUAGCUGCAGCUUUAUCUAUUUUCCAGGUCAAAAUUAGCGUUUCGACAAAAUUACAUGCAUUGGAGUACUAAAAAAAUUGCAGAAUUUAUAACAACGAUUUUAUUAUUAAAAAAUUGUGAAUUUAUCAGUUUCAAAUAUAUAUAUAUAUAUAUAUAUAUAUAUAUAUAUAGGAAAGAUAUAUAUGUCACCUUGAUUUUAUCUUGUUCAACUUGAAAUUCACCACCACGAAUAUCUUGUUCAUUACCGUCGGUAAAAGCUGAAAAAUAAGCCCCGGGGCACCUUGUCUUGAUAUUGUACUUCCGGCAAAACGGAAUCCACCACCUAACAAACACGGCAGCUUCCCUCAUUCCACUCAAGCUCACCGCAGCGCCACCGUCAUCGGAAAGAUAGACGGCAAGCUUCUCCGGCGGGUAGUCCAAGCACAUAGCCGAUAUCACCGUAUUCAUCACCUCUAGGGUUGGCUCCUUCUUCGGAUCAGCCGUGCAGAUAAAAACAUCCACCCCCGGCAACGAUUUGUCUCCGGGCAGUUUUUCCGGGUGAACGGACCGGUACACCGGCCUCCACCGGAAAGAUUGACCGAAGAACCAUGCAAAGGUUAGUAUGAGUUCAGCGAUAAUCAUGAAAAUCCAUGACGUCGCCGGAAAGUUAUGGUCCGGCGUGGAGUUGAGGAGAGAGAAUAGUCUAUAGUAAAAAACGGAAAGGAUGAGAAGGAAGUGGAAGAGGAUGUGAGUUCUGUUCAUGGUGGCAUGAAGUUUUUGCACGGUGGCUGUGUGGAGGAGAGAGGUUGUGGAAGCCAUAAUUUUGGUGGUGAUAAACGUCUCUUUCUAUUUAUUUGUUUGGUAGCAAUUUAUACAACUAAGAAUGCUUCCCUACAUAAUCUAACCAGAGUAAGUUAAGCAUGGUUAACUUCUAACUACAGUUCUAACUUCUAAGUAGCAUAAGACUGUGUAACAUUUAAUACGUGCGCUUAAAGAUAUAUGUGGAACGGAUCCGAUUAGUAUGAAAUGAAGUUUAUAAUUAGUUUAUUUUAUGAUCAAUACAUGCAAAAUGAUUAAUUUGUCUGCGAAACUAAUUCCAAUUGGUAUCCAAAAUAGCGAGUGGGACCUUUAUGUUUUUGCGAUUAUUGCAAGAGUCCUUCUAGGGGGAUUAGGAAUUUUGUUCAGAAUAUAUAUAUAAAUUAUAUGUAUAUAUAUAGUUGUGUAUUAUACAGUAAAAUUAUGACGAUAAAUUUUUUGGGCUAUAGCGACGGUAAACUGUCGUCAUAGUUCAGAAUAGUUAUGACGACGGGUGAAACCGUCAUUAUAGCCUAAAAAAUCGUCAUCAUAGCCUACUAUAUAAUACACAAUUGAUAUAUAUAUAUAUAAGGACGGCUUCCGAAAUUUUUUCCCACAUGAACGAAUUUUAAUUAAUUUUUUUGUUUAAGUUAAAUAAAUAAAAUUUAAUGUAAGACCCCAAAUUAUUAAUAAAUGAAAUUUAUUUUUCUCUAUUUAUUAUUUUGAAAUAGUAAGGGUUAAUUUGAUUAAUGUGGUUAGUUAUGGGUAAAAUGCGCAAAUAUUUCAAAAUAAGCAAGUGGUUAUAAAAUAUUCAUUAUUGUCGGGGAAUAUUCGUUUGGUCGUAGAAUAUUCGUACUGUCGGGGAAUAUUCGUACGACGGCGCAGCCAUGUGUGGGCCCCAUAACGGAAAGCGAUUGGAUGAAGAAAACGACAAAUAUAAGUUGUUUAAAAAAAAUAACGGCGUAGUUAUUACCGUUUACACUGUUAGAAUACCCGGUGGUUAAAAUACAGUAAUACGCGUUGUUGCAUAGUAGCACACGGUAUUGCACCAAUUAUUGACUCUUACGUAAGAAGGCACUACUCAAUAAUUGUUACAGUAAUUACUGUUCAGUAUUUUAUUUUAUUGAUUCAAUAAUUGUUGCAUUGAUAUUUUAUAUUACUGUUGUUUCAAUAAUUGACAUUACACAGUAUUUUCCAUUAUCGAAGUAAUAAUUCAUAUUAUCUGAAUAAUAUUAUUAGAUAACAUUAUUGGCAAUGUCUAGAAAAUUCUGUCUAAGGAGAGGAUUGGUCACCUAAUUGUGCGUCAGUAAGGAGAAAUUCUUAUUGGAAAGCCCCCUCUUUCCUGGGAACUGUCUGGUUGUCAAUAUUGUGAUUCUGUAAUAUUAUUUGUGAAUAAUUAAUUAUUGAUUCAUAUGAUGAGGAAAAUAUUNNNNNNNNNNNNNNNNNNNNNNNNNNNNNNNNNNNNNNNNNNNNNNNNNNNNNNNNNNNNNNNNNNNNNNNNNNNNNNNNNNNNNNNNNNNNNNNNNNNNNNNNNNNNNNNNNNNNNNNNNNNNNNNNNNNNNNNNNNNNNNNNNNNNNNNNNNNNNNNNNNNNNNNNNNNNNNNNNNNNNNNNNNNNNNNNNNNNNNNNNNNNNNNNNNNNNNNNNNNNNNNNNNNNNNNNNNNNNNNNNNNNNNNNNNNNNNNNNNNNNNNNNNNNNNNNNNNNNNNNNNNNNNNNNNNNNNNNNNNNNNNNNNNNNNNNNNNNNNNNNNNNNNNNNNNNNNNNNNNNNNNNNNNNNNNNNNNNNNNNNNNNNNNNNNNNNNNNNNNNNNNNNNNNNNNNNNNNNNNNNNNNNNNNNNNNNNNNNNNNNNNNNNNNNNNNNNNNNNNNNNNNNNNNNNNNNNNNNNNNNNNNNNNNNNNNNNNNNNNNNNNNNNNNNNNNNNNNNNNNNNNNNNNNNNNNNNNNNNNNNNNNNNNNNNNNNNNNNNNNNNNNNNNNNNNNNNNNNNNNNNNNNNNNNNNNNNNNNNNNNNNNNNNNNNNNNNNNNNNNNNNNNNNNNNNNNNNNNNNNNNNNNNNNNNNNNNNNNNNNNNNNNNNNNNNNNNNNNNNNNNNNNNNNNNNNNNNNNNNNNNNNNNNNNNNNNNNNNNNNNNNNNNNNNNNNNNNNNNNNNNNNNNNNNNNNNNNNNNNNNNNNNNNNNNNNNNNNNNNNNNNNNNNNNNNNNNNNNNNNNNNNNNNNNNNNNNNNNNNNNNNNNNNNNNNNNNNNNNNNNNNNNNNNNNNNNNNNNNNNNNNNNNNNNNNNNNNNNNNNNNNNNNNNNNNNNNNNNNNNNNNNNNNNNNNNNNNNNNNNNNNNNNNNNNNNNNNNNNNNNNNNNNNNNNNNNNNNNNNNNNNNNNNNNNNNNNNNNNNNNNNNNNNNNNNNNNNNNNNNNNNNNNNNNNNNNNNNNNNNNNNNNNNNNNNNNNNNNNNNNNNNNNNNNNNNNNNNNNNNNNNNNNNNNNNNNNNNNNNNNNNNNNNNNNNNNNNNNNNNNNNNNNNNNNNNNNNNNNNNNNNNNNNNNNNNNNNNNNNNNNNNNNNNNNNNNNNNNNNNNNNNNNNNNNNNNNNNNNNNNNNNNNNNNNNNNNNNNNNNNNNNNNNNNNNNNNNNNNNNNNNNNNNNNNNNNNNNNNNNNNNNNNNNNNNNNNNNNNNNNNNNNNNNNNNNNNNNNNNNNNNNNNNNNNNNNNNNNNNNNNNNNNNNNNNNNNNNNNNNNNNNNNNNNNNNNNNNNNNNNNNNNNNNNNNNNNNNNNNNNNNNNNNNNNNNNNNNNNNNNNNNNNNNNNNNNNNNNNNNNNNNNNNNNNNNNNNNNNNNNNNNNNNNNNNUAGAGAGAGUUGUUUAGUAGUCCUCACCAUUUUUGUAAAAUAAUGUAUCAAUAAUUAUGAUGGGGAUUUAUUUGCGUGUGGAUAUUGUCUAGAUGGCAAUAUCUGUAUUUAAACUCACAGUAUAUAUGUUGUCGUAUUUUGCACGACAAAUGUAUUAAUAAAAUUGUAGUUAUUUCUGUACCAUGUAUUUGGCGACUCAGAAUGGGUUGGAUGGAAUGGACCUAUUUUGGGGGUGUCACAUUUAAACUAAUCAUAAUAAUGUUUAUAAUUUGCAAUAAAUAUUCAUCUUCCAAAUUAAAAAAAAAAUCAAAUAAAAAACAUUUACAUACAAUUUAGAAAUUUAUUGUGAUUAUUUAUCAUAGUUCAAUUUGAAUGAUUCUCCAAAUACUCAAAACCUCAACCAAAUUUGUUUUUUAUAUUCAAACAAAAUCAAGAAUUAAUUUCAAAGCAUAAAUUAGUUUUGAUAUCUUUUUAUAAGUUUUAAAUAAAUUUUACUUGAAAUAAGAAACAAAUUAAUCAACCAAAAUUUAUACUCAGAACACCAAAAAUUAUACAAAAUUCAUUAGUUAGAUGCAAAGAAAUAAAAUAAUUAUAACAACUAGAAAUGAGUGGUUGCUAAAGGCUCAUAGUCAUUUUUUAUUUUUCAUUUCCCAUUAUAAAAUAAGACAAAAUCAUAUUGUUAACUAUCACAAUAAAAUACAGAAACUACUCAACCAAAAUAUUCUCAUUUUCAAUUGAAAAUUAAACAAUCUAAAAACAAAAACCUAAUUAGACCAUACAAACAGUAACCACAGUCAACCAAAUUAAUAACAAAAAAAAUCAAAAUUAAAUCAAACAAUCUUUUACACGGAUAAAUAUUCAAAACCAAAAAUUAUAUAAAAAAUACAUUUAAAAUUUCACCAAGCUUUAAAAUUAAGAAUAUUUUUGUAUUUAGAUUAUGAAUUUUUUUGUCCCUUCCAAAUUAAACUCUUCCAUUAAUUUAUCCCUUAAAUUUAUUAAUUUAUAUUUUUGCCCUAUACAUAUAAAAAAAUUUCUAACAAGAACAACUGCCUGUACUGUUCUUUUAAGUAGAUCCGCCCCUGCAUAUAUAUUGAGGUUGAUGAGAACUACUGAGACUAAAUUGUCGCACCUCAGAUCUUAAUGUAUCUUUAAUUUAGUGAGGUUUGAUUGUUUCGUGAUAUUACAACAGCGAUGAUAUACUUAUGAAAUUAGAUUGUAUUUUACAAAAAAUAGUCCAAGCACAUAGCCGAUAUCACCGUAUUCAUCACCUCUAGGGUUGGCUCCUUCUUCGGAUCAGCAGUGCAUAUAAAAACAUCCACCCCCGGCAACACUUCGUCCCCGGAAAGUCUUUCGGGGUGCACCGACCGGGACACCGGCCGCCACCGGAAAGAUUGAGUGAAGAACCAUGUAAAGGUUAGAAUGAGUUCGGCGAUAAUCAUGAAAAUCCAUGCAGAUACCGGAAAAUCCAUCCGGCGUAGAGUUGAGGAGAGAGAAUAGUCUAUAGUAUAAGACAGAAAGGAUGAGAAGGAAAUGGAAGAGGAUGUGAGUUCUGUUUACGGUGGCUUGGUGGUGUUGUACGGUGGCUUGUUGGCGGUGGAGAGAGGUUGUGGAAACCAUAUUUUUGGUCCUUCUAAUUAUAGACACAAUAUGAACUUAUAAAAAGAAUUGUCAAGACUAGGGUCUUGUAUUAUUUAAAUACUUGUUGGUCUAACAUUUGCAUUUAAAUACUUGUAGGUCCUUCUAGCAUUUGUCUUUCACUUAUGUUGCAUUUGUCAUCUAUGUCAUACCGCCAGAGGCAGUGGCUCAGUGUCAGUGUCAGUGUCAGUGCCAGUGCCGGUGUUAGUGUUGAAAGAAAAGUCAUAACUUUCUAGACAUACAAUUUUAAUUUAAGUAGAAAACAUUUACUACCGCGUGAGUUACAAAAUAAACAAUUUAAUUUUUUAGGAUAAAUAAUAUUAUAUUAAAAUUUAAAAUUAAUAUAAUUUUUAAAAAUUUAAAAUAAAAUAAAUUUUGUGAUUAAUAGAUUUUAUUAUAGAUUAUAUAAUUAUAAUAAUUAUAUCAAUUAAAAUUAAAAAAAAUACAUAUCAAUAUAAAAUUUAAUAGGUUGUCGUUUAAUUUUAAAAAUUAAUUUGUAUUUUUUUAGUUUUACUUAUGGUGAUACUACAUAUUAUGGCCGAAUUAUAAAACUCUCUUAAAAAAUUGUCACUGAAUUUUAAUUUAAUUUUUGUAGUAGUAAAAAUCUCAACUGAAAUUUUUCAAUGGCUGAUUUGAUUUUUUUAUUUUUAAAUCUUAUUGAAAGAAAAAUAAAUAAACUCAUUUAAGGAAAGUGAGAAUAUAAACUUACAAAUUUCAUUUAAAUGAAAAUCAAACCUAACAAAUAAAGUUUUACAGUAACUCAAUAUUAAAUUUAUCCACGACAAUUGAUUUGAUUUAAGUGGGUCCUUCGUAACAAAAAAUUCAAUUGAUUUGACAUCAAGGUUAGGAGUCAGUUUAAUUUUUUUUUUAUUUAUUGUAAUAACAGCACUGGGAUAUAUUUAUUCUAUAAUCCCUAAUAAUCUCUCUGAUGAUUACCAUGUUUAUUAAUAAUCAAUGAAACUGACAGGAGCAUCUUACCCAAACUUUUUUUGGGCAGGUGUAUCUUGAAUCCGGUCAAGUUCAUUUUUGGGUAAAUUUAUCAAUUGACCAAUAAAAUACUAACACAUAUAAAAUUUCACUUACAUAUCAUCACUCUAUUAACCAAUUGAUCAACUUACUCAAAAAUAAACUUCAAUUUGUAAGUUAUCAGAGCUUAUAAUAUUUUUAUUAAAAAAAUACAGGCUUUUAAUAUUUAGAUUUUAAAAAGCGGCUUUUAAUAUUUUGAUUUAAAAAUAAACUUAUAAUAUUUAAUUUUAAAACGGAUUAUAAUCUUAAAAUAAAAAUAUAUAUUUAAUUUUCAAAUGAAAAAAAACGUAUAUGUUAUUUUAUUUCUAAAACUAUUUGAUUAUAGACUCGUGGUAUUAAAUAUAGCCUACUUAAAUUGUAAACAUAACGGGAACUAUAAUGACAAGGGAAUUAAAAUAUNNNNNNNNNNNNNNNNNNNNNNNNNNNNNNNNNNNNNNNNNNNNNNNNNNNNNNNNNNNNNNNNNNNNNNNNNNNNNNNNNNNNNNNNNNNNNNNNNNNNGCAAAAUAUGAAAAAUUCAAUGCUUCUUGCUUCUUUUCCCCUAUGUAUUCUGGAGCAUGAGCUGAGGAUCAAUAAGCCAGAAUUCCCAUACUCAGUCCAAAAUUACCUCAAAGAAAAAGAAAAAAUCAGGCCAAUGCUGAAAUAAGUACUGGCUGGCAACUAGUGAACAGUAUAUAUUCAUUGGACUCUAAUGAAAGCCUUAUGAAAUGACUCCACAAAAUUCACAAUAAUCCAUUAGGUAAUUUUGAAUGAUUAUUCAACAAAAUCAAUGACAUACCGCCAGCCUCGGGUUCGAAAGGGGAGAGAAUGUGUUAGCAACUAAUUAGACAAAUCCGCGAUGAAAAGCAAUCAGUCAGCACGAGGUAAAAGAAAACUGAAGCCUGAAUUUUCACGAAUAAGUGGUGGUGGUUCAAUGUCUGCUAUAUCGAUCUGAUCCAUUGAUUUAGAGAUGUCAUCAACUGAGAAUGGUAUGCUGCGUCAUGGUUAACAGUCGGUUACAAACAACUACUACAUUUUAUGAAGACGCGAGGGAUAAAUAGAAUAACAAAUGCAAAUAUACAAUCACAUGUUAUGGUCUAAUCUUUAACCUUGAAUCAUCAUCCAACAGGAAGGAACUGCUGACAGCAUUAUUUGAAUCUUCGGUCAUUAACACCCUCAUGUUGGAUAUUACCUGUCAAUCAAAUAAUCGAGACCAGAUGUAAGUCGUAUAUUUUUUACACCUCUACUUCAUACUUCAUUCAAUAGUAGUUAAAAGUAAGGUCUAUCAGCGCAGGAACUAAAUAGAGAUUUGAUGGACCUAUUCUCAUUUCUAUCACCAGUAAUGUUAAAGAGAUGAUAAUUUACCAGACUUAAAAUCGAAAGCCAAGCAAAUGUUACAUGGUGAAAAAGAACAAGUGAAGGAACAUCAAUGCAGACUUACAUCUGGUGAAACGCUGUGUGUGCCAUACUUGUCAUCCCAAUACAUAGUGCUGAUUCUAUACAGUUGUUGAAUACUAAGCACCUGUGGAAGAUUAACAACUUCAGAAAUUGACCAUAUACUGGUUAAAGUAAAUGGUUCAUCCUAAAAAAAAUAAAAUUUGAUAGCCACUUACAGGGCACAGGUCAUGACUUAUUUCAUCCAGCGUCUUCUUUGGCUUCUGAUGUAUGACCUAAAUUAGGAAAUCAAGAUUAGAAUGUAUUAAAUGGUGUCACCAACUUCUAGACAACUACAAAAGUUUGUUCUUGUCGCAGAGGUUUUAUUUUUUAUUCUUUUGAUUCUACUGAUCUUUAGUUUAAUUCUUUCCUGUAGUUGUGGAGUAAUAUCCAAAAGCCUUCUUUCUACAGAUGUGGGCAUACAGGUUGCAGUGGAAAAAAGAAGAUGAAGAUAUAAGAAACGCAAAAGGAAAAUUAUACAAACAAUAGGUAAAUGGCAAUGCUGGUAAACUUAAGAUCAAACAACACUGUCGGAAGAUUCUACACGCUGUAUGGAGUAUGAGAUGAAAUACCAGGAACCCUAUGGCCUGUCUUAUAUGCUUGAGCUCAUCCCAGGCUGAACCUGCAUACUGGAUAUUUGUUUCAUUCAUCAGUCAGGAAACCAAAUUAAGAAACAUAACCAAGAGAGCGAAAUGCAAAACAAGAUUACCUCAUCAGUUGCCUUGUAGCACCAAUGUUCAAGUUCAGCUAAUCCAGCCUUGACGUACUCACCAUUGCUAAAUGAGCAGCAUUCUCGUCUCAAAAGAAGGCUGCAGCCACAAAGGUGAAUAACUAAAAGGACAACUGUAAUUAACAGAAUUAUCUUAUAGAAAUGUAAACAAUUAUCGAGAUGUUACUAGACAGAGAACCUGUUAAAUAAUUGCACAUUGAUGAAAGAAAAUAUCUGCGUGAACACUUUACGGACUAAAAAUGGGGGUACCUGAGAAAGAAAGAAAAGUAGUGAAAGUUAUCAAGUUAAAUGCAUUUAAAGAAAAUAAGUGACAUAUUAUACAACAACUACACAAGGACAUAUAAAAAAUAACUGAAAUUAAAUGGAACCCAGAAUCAUCAAAUGGAGAACAAAUUGGAUUGAAACAGUAAGAGCCAUGAGGACAGAUAAAUCUCAAAGAAUCUUCAUAAAGUGGAACAUAAAGUAAACUGCAUAUUAUACGAUUCCAAUGAUUUUGAUCUUAUUGAAAGUCAUAUUGGCAGAAAUAUGGCAGUUACUGUUGAGGUCAGAAAAAUGUAUGUGAAGGGAAUUCUUUGAUAUUAUUGUCAAUUUGGUCAUCAUUGUGUAACCAAUAUUUCCAAUUUUUCAUAUAACCUAUUGAGUGCACAAAAGCUUGGAUCAAAAUGUAAAAACCUAAAUAAGCAUGAAAAUUUGAUCAAGAUAAAAAUAGUGCACUUAGAAUCCAUGAAACAUAAUAAAAUUGUUAUUACGACAAGAGCUAUAAGAGCAAUCUUCUCGUUGGUUAUCACCAUUGUGAUGAAUACUGUGGUGAGCACAUAAUCUAUAAACAGCAUUACUGGUUAGGUGGUUUUUGGUUUGGUUAAAACCUAAUUAUAGGUGUGUUAGUCCGUUGUCUCCUAGCUAAAAUAAUUAGUGACCAACCAUGCCAGGGCAUAAAACCUGUCCUUAAGCAAUGUAAAGUUUACAUAACCAAAACAUAGAGAAACGACCACAUUAUAGAUAUUUCACUUACAUGAUUAGAUUUCAACAUAUUCAAGAAAUUCCCAAUACUCUUUACAAUCCCUUGCCAGUGAGCAGUCAAAAUCUCCUGAGCAGCAGCAUUUGCAAGUGUACGAGCCGUCCCCUUAAGUAAGCUUGCUCUUGAUAUUCUGGGUGCCUACGCCAUUUAGUUUCCAGAUAAAUAAAUUUUGAAGUGGCUUAGUAGUUAGUAGCAAAGAAUGAUUUAACAUAUCAUUAUUACUUUUCUUAAGAGAGAUUAUCUUGUGUUAAUUUGUACAUAGUACCUGAAUGCACAACCCAAGCAGCGGAGAAAUCUCUUUCUUCAGAUUAUCACGGAUCAUGCCAUAUAUCUUUUCCACAUAUGCUGUCAGUUGCUGUUUGAACAGCAAAGCAGGAUAUUUGGCUUCAACUUGGCGUAGUGUAUCCACUCCACCAGUCAACUCACCGUUGGAGAAAGAAAGGUUAGUGCCUUGUGGAGUUCCACGGAAGCUCUGAAGAGAUAAAUAUUAGAUCCUUCACAACAUCUGCUGAAUAGCAAAAUCUUAAAAUCAAAACGAUUUUUUUAUUUUACCUGUGUCAUCCUCCCAAAUAGAGUAGCUGAUGGGGAUCGCCGGUGCUGUGGAGUCAUCCCAGCAGCACCACCAGCUUUCAGUGUACGUUGCAGCAGCAGCAACAGAGUUGAUGCAUUGGAUAACCAAUAGGCUAAGGUUUCAUUGUUGUCCUGUGUCUACAAUUCACAUAAAUAUAUUUGAAGUUCAAAAGAGCUCGUUAUUUUAAUGUAGAUUAGCAUUGCACCAUAAAAGCAUCAGACAGAGAAAUUCAUAUACUUCCUCCGUCCCUAAUUAUUUGACGUUUUAGAGGUAGACACAAGAAUUAAGAUAAUGAUUGGAAAGCAUUAAAUAUAGUACUCAAUUGUCUAUAAUAUCCUUAAUUUUUUUGUUGGGAUAAGUAGAGUUUUGUUGGGAUAAGGAGAGAGAAAGAGUUUAAUGAGGGGUAAUUUUGGAAAAAUUAUCAUUAAUUCUCCUAAAUUUGAACAAACGUCUAAUUUGACAAAUGAAAAACUCUAAAACGUCAAAUAAUUAGGGACGGAGGAGGGAGUACCUCAAUAGCAUGUCCUAUGGUUUGUAUAAUCCGGUCAAAAAUGUUGGUCUUUUCAACUUCAAAUGAUCUCCACUGCCUUAGGCAUUUGUAUAUGAUGCAGGCAGCAACAGGCCUGCCUCUAGAGAAUUCUAGGUGCUGUGCGAUGCAUCGGAUAAGCAAGUCCUGGUAUUCCUGCUGUUUCUCAUUGAGAGAUUUUUGGGGUCUCUCCUCUACAUCCGAAUGUUCCCUCAGGUGAUGUAUUGGAGGACUUGGGAGAUCCUAGUACAAUAUCAUUUGCAAUCAACAAAAAGUCCAGUAAUCGCAGCAAAAGUAUGCUCAAUUCUGUAAUUUUAGUCAAUUCCACUUACUAUAGCAGCUUUUGUGCUUUCACCCCUCUGUCAGUUUCAAAGAAAAUUAAAACCAUAGAAAAUGUGAGUAAUACACAAGAUUUCUUAGUCCAAAGGAAAUGAACCUUUUCUCUAGGAAUACCUGAAUAACCGACUUUGAGCGUCCUGAAAGGAGCUUAUGACUUUGUGCCAUUGACAUAACCUGCUGACGAAGAGCUUUAUUUUCCGCCUCUAAGUCUGAUAGGACCUUAUUAUUCUGUGCCAUGGAUAGAGCCUGCUGACGAAGAACUUUAUUUUCUGACUCUAAGUUGGUGAGCUUCUCUUCAAGCCUAUUUGCAGAAGGAAAAUAAUUCCAUUAACUGUAUCCUAUACUAUCGGAAUUGGAAAUGGCAUUCUUCUGAGUACAAGGACAUUAUCAAUUGGCCAUUGGUAGGUGGCUAUUGAUGUUACUUUCUAUAUUAACUCUAGUAUACCAUCCUCAGUAAGAGAUGAUUGGCUGGAGUAAACAAACGAAAAUAGUGGGGUACUGAACUUUAUGCUGCCAAUACAGUAAUGCAAAAUAUAAAACUUAAACACAUUCUUUAACGCUCCAUAUAUUACAUAUGUAAAAUAGUACUAGUGCAAUUAAGAACAAAGGGCCUUGAUAGUAAGAACACUGCAGAGGCAAUAAAGAUGAUGUCAAAGGCAAGAUUAUGUAUUAGGUCAAUUUUGUCAAACCGUUGGGAAAAAAUCAUAAUUUAAAACUGAUUAUGUAAUCCUAUAAUCCAGUAUAUAUGCCACUCAGUCCUAACUUAUAUAUGGAAGACAACUAACAGCUGCCUCUUGUUCUGUUGAAAGAAUAAAACAACUAAACAAGGAAAUGAAACAGAUCAAAAAGAAAAACUCGAUUUAUUAAAAUAGAUUUUUGACCCUAAUUUAUACAUCAUAAAUUACUAAAAAAUACUUGUUCAUCAUUGAAGAGCCGAUGACAGAGUAAUAAUCUCUGCAGGAUGCGAGGAGGGAACCAGAUGUAAAAGUCUACUUCAUCUUAAUCUGCCCUUCUAUUAAUUUAAAAGUGAUAAUAAUAAAAAUUUCUAAACUAUUGCUUACAGACUUACCUGAAGAUUAAAACGAAAAACAAAGAUAUUUUUAGUAAAUGAACUAACCUCUGGAGUAAGCUGCGCAAGAGUCUUUAAACUCUUCAUAUUCUUAGAUUUUCUAAAGUAUAAAAUUUCUCAACUAAUAUGCAGUUUAAAAAGGAAAAAUAAAUAAAUAAAAUGUGUAAUGCCACUGGAGUAUUUGACAUCUAAAGUGCCAGGUGUCCAUUCUGGAUCAUUUAAAUAUGUUCUCAAGGACAAAUACUUAUACCUCAAAAUGAGACGGUCAAAUACAAAACAGUACCUCCCAGUUCAGUACUUAUAACGGGUAUAGCUAACUGGGAUUAUGCCAGAGUGGACAUCAGCGGUGAUUGGAUCUAUGACAACUAAACCAAAACUAGAAUGUAUUAAUAAAACUUGUGAUUUAACAUUCUAAUAUUCUACUGGACUAACAUUAUGUUAAAUAUUGAAAUCCAUAACGGUACAGGAUUUCUUAGUUUUAUUUUUUUAAUAUAGGUAACUGCACUAUGGAUUUAUCAUAUCCUCAACUAUUAAUGCUUCAAAAGAUUUAAUUAUAUCUGUUGUAGCCAGAAAAUUGAAAUGUGUAGAUGAGUCGCUACACAGUCUUAGCUUGUUAACCAUGACAAGGCGGGUGUUAGUUGCUAAGAGAACUAAAAGGAGAAUAAGCUCCAUUAUAAUGGACACUAGAACCCGCAUCGGAAAGAAUUCCUAGUUGUAAAGGGAAGUAAUUCAGCCCUCAAAAGGGUGGAUAAUUUUAAAAUUCUUGUUGGAAGGUAAGUCGAAGGAAAUUAUUCUGAAGUAGACAUUUAAAAAAAAUUAUAACUACUAUAAGGGCAAUAAAGUGGCAGAAAAACAUUGUCCUAGACCAUGUUGAACCAAUAUAAUUUCCCCACAGCUUUAAAAGAAAAUGAAAGUUACAAAGGAACAAUCUAAGUCAUCAAAGGAAAGUAAUUUCUUUAUAAACUGACAUGUUUGCAGGUAAAAUUUACUGCACUUUUGUCUCUUUCCAAAGAAGAGAAAAGGCAAAGAGAAGACUGGGAGGUACAGGUAUAAAAUAAGUUCAAUGUGUAUAAGAAAUUUGUCAUCUUUUUACUCCACAAUCCCCACACUUGCCACCUCAACAGUGAAGUCAAACGUCAAAAUAGACAUGAAACAUGAGGAAAUGAUAUGCAGUUUUCAACAUGGCAUAUAACACUAGUUAAGGUCACGUUUCUAGGUCGGAAUUCAAAUGAAGUUGCAACCACUUCUACUAGAUAAAAAUUUGCAGCUAGCUUAUCACAAUAUUUAUUCAAUAGAAUGACAGAAACAGAACCCAAUUCUUCAAUAAGAGAGUUGAUCCAAAAUGCCCCGUAGUUAAUAUGUCAUAGAUUUUUAUCAGAAUUCAGCAUCAGGCAUCGACUUAAGAUUGACUUGUGAUAGAAAAUCCAAGAUUGACUUAAGAGACCGGUCACAAGUCAUUUCUUUUCCCAUAUUCACCUUCUAUACUUUGACAUCCUCAGACUACUCAAUAAUGUUACACGAGAGUGCAUAAAUACACAAUUAAAUAUAUAAAGGUACGUGUCCUAUAAGACUUAACUAGAGGUAUGGUCCAAAAUGAAAUAAAUAAAUCCUGCCAUAGUUUCUUGGAUCAGUACAACGUCACCUUGUACACAAUAUAACUGAAGACUAUUCCUACCGAGAUUUGGUUGUUUUGUGUCAGCAUUCAGCAAUUUUUUACAAGGUCACUGAGAUAGAUGAAUCUUACUGCAAUCUAAACGCCAUAUACAAACUAUUUGGGAUCCACUACACGAAUCCUGUUUCUCCAUUCACAAGGUUUGCAAACCAGUAUUCUGUGAAACUAAUUAUCUAUACUUCAGGCCUUUGUAUCACGCCUACUCCCAACACAACCUAUUUAAAUAAACAACAAUAACAUAGAAUUGAAGAAAGAGACAGUGACUAUAAACAAAAAGAUAUUAAUGUUCAGACUUGGAAGAGAACCGGAAAGUGGGAGACUUACUGAAGGACAACGAGCUGGAGCAAAAAACCUGAUCAAAGGGAAUCAGAUGAUGCUUCUUUAUACGAGCCUUCCAGUGGUACUAGUGUGGGAGGGGGAAUAAAAUCUUUCUUCCAUGGAAACUGACUUUUAAAGCUAAUCAAAAUUUUAUUUUGAGAUAAGAGAGAGAAAAACUCUAGAAUCCAGAUUGAACAAAAGAAUCUCUUCCCUAUGGAUUGUUGAAGCUAUCAUGUUCUCCCAGAAAGUGAAAGCACGGGACAAGCACAUUUAGAAGACAAAUACCAGAACCUUAGUGUCUUACGCUGAACCCUAUAGCAUUAACUUUUUCAGUCUGUGAACAUAUUAAUAACUUGGAAACAUACUUUGUUAAAAAAAAAUUAUCUAUACUUCAAUGCUUUGCAUCCAUGCUUACUCCCGAGGCAAGUAUCUAACCAUCAAGUUGAUAAAGAAGGAACCAUAACAGAGAAUCGAAGAAAGAAACAACGAGUAAAAACAAGAUAUAUUAACGUCCAGAGUGGAAGAGAACCAGAAAUCUGAAGACUUACCAAAGGUCAAAAAGUUGGAGGAAAAAACCCUGAUGAAAGGGAAUCAAAUGAUGCUGCUUUAUGCGGGCUUUCCACUGGUAAUGAUGUGGGAGGGGGGAAUAACAUCUUCCUUCCAUGGAGACUGACUUUUAAAGCUAAUUAAAAUAUCAUUUUGAGAAAACAGAAAGAGAAACAUUAUAUUGUGUAAAAGAAUCUCUAAGCGUAUUGGAUUGCUAAAGUUAUUGCGUCUCUCAAAAAGUGAUAAUUACAGGAGAUAGACAUCUAGAAGACAAAAACCAUAACCAAAAUGUCUUAUACUGAAACUCAUAACAUAUCACAGUCGAUCUAUUUUGGUCUGGUGGACAUCCCGAUAACAUCAAUGGAGAUUAUCUCAUAGAUGUACUGUUUAUGAGCUCCUUACAGCAUUUCUAAUAUUUUUAGCAAUUAAAUAUCACACUAUUGAAGAUCUGUCAAUAUCUGAAGAAAGAUAAAUUCUCCAUUAUCAGAAAUUUAAUUAAGCAACAAUACUAUAUUUUGUCAAUUCCCCAAACAAAAUAAGAUAUUAUCAUCUUAACCCCCAGGUAAUUGGGAGACUAUAGCCUCUACUGAUUUGCAGGGGGAAAACCCUUUGUAUCCCAAAUUGAGUGCCCAUCUUUCCAUUUACAUAUGCCCCAAAUAGAGACUACAAUUUCUGAAAAUAGACUAAAAAUUAGCAUAAUGUUCCAAAUUUAUCCUUAAUGCAAAGCGGCUAAAAUCUAGCUCUUAUUUAAAUACCAACAUCAUUAACAUAAUUGAAAUGGGAGGUUAACUUGGAAAUCAAUGAUUUUUUUUUGAAAAUACAUGAGUUUUUAGAACUGACUUUCAUUUUGGGAAAGAGGGAGUUCUGUAAGAUUUUACUACUUGAAAUAGAAGAUACAUGCAAGGAAGGUUUAUCUACAAUUAAAAGAACACAAAUGAAACAUUUUAUAUAUAUAUAUAUAUAUAUAUAUAUAUAUAUAUAUAUAUAUAUAUAUAUACACAUAUAUGCUAGUCUUGAUAAAAUAUCAAGUAUGAAGAAGAGACUGGAAAGAUAAGUAGAUUACUAAUAAUUUAAUUCUCAUUGAUAUUAUUUAUCUACAAUUUUGUAUGAAACAAAGUAGUAACCCAUUUUGUGAGGUACCUAUUGAAUGAUGCCAAAAUGCCAAGACCUUGUCAAACUAAAAUCUAGCUAGCAGGAAAUAGAUACAACAACACAACAAAUUGGAAGAGCUAGUUCCAUCAGAAGAAGUCAUCAAAUGCCCCCUCCUGAUCAUUUUCCCAGUUUCCAGAUCCUGCACAACGCAACCAUUGAGAUAAAGAAGAUAUAUAAUACAGUUUCUUUUGAUGCAUCCUGUUAAAACAAAACUAACUUGUAUCAUUGGCACAAAACUAACGUUAUCUAAGGAACGAUGGAGGGAGAUCGAGAAAAAAUGGUAUGAGUGGCUGAAUUAGGAAGUUUCCCAAUCCUGAUAGUGAGAAUAUUGAUGCAUUUUCACUUAUAUUAGAUUUUCAUACCAGUAGCCAAUAAGUUGGCGGAUCAUAUACUAACUAAUUACUAGAAACACAGUCCAAGUGCAGACAGGUAGACUCUAGCAAAACUAGACUGACCUGAGAUUCCAGCUGCUGAAAGAUCCUGAACUAUUAGCUGGAAAGCACCAGGAUUGAGGGAAGAGAGGGUCGCUGGAGUUGAAGCAUGAGCUGGAAAGCUGAAAUCAGAGUCAGUAGAUGUAGUAUCGGAGGAAGUGGAUGUAUCAUCACUUCGACUGUCUCUAGCAAUGAGUCCUGAAGUUGAACUCGAGUUGGAUGAGGUACACAAUAUCAUUUUCAGCUCUGAAACUUGGUCUGACAUGCUGUAUAUCAUCCUGAGGCACACUAGAUCAUAUGUACUAUUAGCCAAAUAACAUAUAGGAGCCAUUCAAGCUAUACUUAUUUAGAGUAACUCCUUUAGCUAAUAGCUAAUUUCUAUACCAAAUACUAUGAAGGGUUUUGACUAAUAAAUUUUAAUCAAUGCUCCUCAGUUUCUUUUCUUCCACCUAUUUUCAUAAUCAAUUGACUUCUUUUUAUUUUGUUACUAUCUUUCAGCUUACCUGAUUUAUAAUCAAUUUGAUACCACCUAGUUAUUAUAUUCUUGAAUUUUAAAAAAAAAAUCCUUCAGGUUAUUAUAAAUAAUUAGUUAAAACAGCUCUAGAAUAACUUUAGAAUAGAUUAUGAACCUCAUAUAAUAUAGAUAUAAAUAUUUAGAAGGAUUUUUUUUAGUAUAUUACAAGGUCAUUAAGAAAAUUUAGACAUCCACCUGAAUUCCUAUACAAUUUUAGAAGUCUCUUUUACAAUUAAAUUAGAUUACCCCGUUUAGGCAUCAUUCUAUUACUGUCUGGAUGGGUCUCCUGCAGCAUUCCACAUAUACCAAAAUCCUUCACUGUACAGAAGCAUCUCAAUUAAUGUUACAUAUCAAUGAUUCAUUCCCAACUUUAUCCAUGCCAUCCAUCUCUAUUCCUGCUUGAGCAACAUGCAUUUGUUUCAUCUUCCGUUUGAAAAAUAAAACAAUAAAUAAUGUACCCAGACCACUUAUACAUACUUCCAUGUUAAAUAACUCUUCCACUUGAUAAGCCGCCAAAUGUGAAUUGAUGCUUUACUAACACACUCUUCGUCAAUAACAUCUAUUUUAAUUUAUCAAUACCAAUUCAUUAUAAAGAGAAUCGCCAAAGGGGGCGUAGUAACCCAAAACAUAACAAGCAGCCAAACAAUAAAAUUCCUAGUUGAGGGGGAACAAGAAGCUAUAUACACUCCACAACCAAAGAAACCCUAUAGGGGUUCAGUUCUACAAAAGAAUUCCUAUACACCCAUCAAGCACAAGGGAAACAAAAACUUCCAAGUGUCGUAUCAUCUGAAAAAUCCAGAAAAAGAAAAGAGCCACUUGGAUAUGCUUCGUGCACCAAAAGAAUAACAGAUUCAGCAACUAUGAUCUCACUUUACAUGCCGGGAACUCUACUCCUCCAAACCAGUUAGAUAUGUCAUCACUCAUGGAUAGAGGCAAGUUUGACCAGGAGAAGACAUCGGGCUUGAUACAUACCCUAAUUAUAGAAAGAGGGAGAAGAAAACUCAUUGGCCAUGUCCUACCAUCAGUGCUCAAUUCAGCUGGUGAUCAAACACUCCAUCUUUCAGAGGGGUGUUAAGGAGCUACAGGAGACAAUUACUCGCACAUUACUUAAAAAGUUUAAGCUUUAGAUCAUGUGGAUAACUGGUCAGGUAAAAUAAAGGAAGAAAAUAAAGUUCAAAGAAAAACUCCAGAAAAGAAAUCUGCUAACCCAAUUGAAAGCUAAAGACUUGCACAUGAGAAAGAAAAAUAAGCAAAUUCAUUAUAAAUCUUCUUAUCGAUGCACUUUGAUGAUAAUCACUAAAAAUACAUAAAUUCUGAAGGGUUAUGUACUACCUGUUCAAGGAUUCUUGUAGUUGGUGAACUCUUAUUUCAGUUUCUUCUAACUUCUGACGCUUUUCUUCACCUGACUCCAUGGCUGCUGUAUACUUUCUUUCGAAAUCAUCAGCUCGCUCUUUUUCAGAUUGUAAUGAUGCCUGUAAAAGUCAAAUGUCAGAAGAAAUGUUGGUAAGUGUAUUGCACAUUUUUUUUAAGAAAAAGCAUAUUGCAGAUAAAAAAUAGAUUACAACCUAGAAGAGCUAUCACAAAAUAAUUUCCAUAUACAUUCUCUCUUUUUUUUCUUUGUUCUUUUCUUGUUGAUAAGUAUCUCUUUCUUAUUUUCUCUUUUUAAUUUUAUCAUGGUGUCUGUAAGGUCUUGGGAUCAAGUCUCUUCAAUACACUUACUUGUUCAAUUGGAACAUUUGUAGUAUAUAUUGUUUGCAUUUGCCUCUUCAUGUGUGAGAGGAAGUCCCACGUGAGGAAGUUCAUUGAAAGAUUGAUCAACAAUUUCUUUAAGAGUAUAGGAUAUUAGAACAAUUGGUAGAAACAAACAUAAAAACGAGAAGUUGUUUGGCAAAGGGAAAAAGAUUGUGGAGGUGUGUUUUUUUCGCCCUUUUGUGGGGUGUUUGGUUAGAGAGAAUUGCAAGGAUUUUUUGAGGUUGAUCAACAAAUGUUGUAUGACACUUCAGUAGUGGUGUCGUCUUUACAACCUUUAAACUUUUUCCAUGAGAGUUUUUGGAGAAACUUCUUCAUCAAGAUUUACAUAGGGAUUGGCGAGAUGCUUUAAAGGUGUUGGAGUGGUUUUAUCAUUUUUUUACGUGUUUCCUCUUAUAUGGACUCCUUGUCCUCCAUAUGCAUUUUACUUCCACUUUCUAUUCUCAAAUAAAACAUCUUCUUUUAACUUAAAAAUUAGAAGAAAAAAGAAGAAGAAAAAGCUAAGGAAAGAUGGAUGGAAAAGGAGGGAGAGAAUAUGAACAAUUUCAAUUAUUGACAUUUAUUUGCAGGAAAAAUAUGUGUACAUAAAUUUAGGUAUAAGUUUGAUGUUUGGGACAAUUGAUGAGUUAAGGGAGCCAUGGUGGUGGAUUUUAUGUAUGGUGGCGUCAAGAUGAGGUUUUAAUGUUGGCAUUAGCAAGGUGCUGGGUGGUGAUCGCUUACCUCCAAAGGUUGGUUUGGUGAUAGGCGUAGGGUGGUAUAAGACAAUGGUGGUAAGGGUAAAGAGAUAGAAACUAGAGAUGGGUGGUAGUGCCAGGUUGAAUAAGAGGGGAAUAUGGGUCUGCUACCAAAACAAUCUGAAAAAAGAAUAUAUUAACGAAACAUGCCGAUCAAAAAAAAAAGUAAUAACAAAAAAAAUGUCAGAGGAAUAGAGGAUAUCCUGUCUACAACAUCUAGAGUAAUAAUGAAACAAUUGAAAGACAGUGGUUACCUCAGGUAAAUGACAUCACACCCACACCACACCAACACACACACGCAGACACAUACGAUGAACAGAUGGAAAAGAGGUAGAGGUAAUACAAUGGGUAACCUGCAUUACCUUUAAGGUUUCCACUUCUGCACUUAAUGCCUCAAUCUUUUCCGUAUCUUCAACUGGAACUGGGGUUUCCUUGAUGAUAGAGGAUGCAUCUUCAAUAGCUUUCUGAGCAGUUUCACGUUCCUUGACAAGCAAUGCAUUCGUUUCAUCAACUUUGCUUUGCAUGGCUUGCAAGGAAUGCUGCAACUUUGAUAUCUCCUGUCCUUUCGCCUCUUCUAAAUCAGUCUGUAUGCAUGAACUUCAAACUUUAGGCAAUAGAUACCAAGUCACCAAGUAGCAUGAUCUUACGUUAGUUUUCUUGGGGAAUCUUAUUUCCACAAGUAAAAUUGUCAAUACCCCAAGGUCCCAUCACACAAGAGUGUCGGGUCCAUUACUCCAUUUAUAUAUCCUGUGAGAGGAGACCUUGUAGAACUAAGAAUUUAACUUCUGGAAAUAGUAGCUCUUUAAAUUCAAUAUGGUUGGCAUAAUCAUGCUAAUAAGUAUGCUGGAGUAUUAUAAUUUCUUAUUUUCUCAAAGAACCUUAAAUUACUAAUUGUCUAGAAAUACUAAUAUAUUCUGCAUAUCUUGCAUAGACGAGAAAUAAUAACUCUUGAACAGAUGUAUUACCCUCAUACGUUUUUCCAACUGCAAGCGCCAUGCAAGUUCUUCCACCUGUUUUUCAAGUUUAUCCUUUGCUUCUUGGAGUGCACCUGUUUCCCUUGCAGCCUAAAUAUGUUGAAAAUGCACAUUACAUUAGGAAUAGACAAAGGAGAGGGCAUUGUUAUAAAAUUACAACUAUUAUACCUAGCAGUCAGUUUUAUAAUAUAUGUUCACAUAAAAUAAUUUAUUGUAAGGGUAUGUUUUGGAACUUGGAAAGUGCGGACUGAAAGAAAGGAUGAGGAAAACACAAAUAAAUUAAAAAAGGAAAAAACUAUCUUAACGAACAUAAAUCUGAUUGUCUAUACUUUAAAGAAAUCUAAUAUCAAGAAUAAUGUUAAAUUGUAGUGUAACGGAUGGUUAAAAAAACUCCAAUAAACUUUUAGACUUCAUUUCCUUUACCUUUCUUUUCCCUCAAGUUCUCUAAGUUCCAAAAAUAUCACGUUGAAUAUGCAAACUUUACAUAUAUGUCACUCUAAUUUGGGGCUAUCAAGCAAAAAUAUCAUUGACCGCAACUAGAAUGAACACAUUGAUAUCACGUGAAUGUUUGUAUUAUCACAAGAAAUGUCACAGAAGUAAUUUCCCAUGCCCUCACACUCUAUCAAAUCUGGAACACCAAACAAAUAAGUAUAUAUAUAUAUAUAGACACACACACACACACACAAAUACAGGUUACCCUAAUUUGGUGCCAAGUGAAAUAGUAUUACCAUUGGGAAAAAAAUAAUAAUUACCACAACCAGAAUGAACUCGAUGACAUCACAUGAAUGCUUGUAUUAUCAAAAGAAAUGUCACAGAAGUAAGCAUGCCCUCACACUAUACCAACUCUAGAUUACCAAAUAAUAUAUAUAUAUAUAUAUAUAUAUAUAUAUGUAUGUAUGUAUGUAUGUACACUAAAUGACCAAUCACAAGUAAUGUGGCAAUUAAUGCGGUGGUGACAUUUCAUUUGAGAUCCCAAAUUUAGUGAAGUUGGUACCCCUAGCAUUUUUCUCUUUUUCUUUUCAUGCCAAAAGUGAAGAAAGGACCGAGUUGAUUAUUUUGGCAUAUAAACCAAUAGCAUUUGAUUUUAUAUUUAAAUCAUGCACCAAGUACCUUGCAGUUGGCAUCCCAGAGUUGAGAAUAUGACAAUAUGGAAUAAAAACUACCUCUUACGGUUUCUGAUAACUAUUACAACACUAACACCCACCAUCUUUAGUUUCCGAAGCUCCCUUUUAGCAAUUCUCCCCCUCCAUCUGCAUUGUGUUACAAUUGACGCCUUUAUCAAUUUCUUAUAGUACGAAAAAGCUCUAUGACCACGCCAAUGGGUCUGCAGAUAUUGGUUAGAAUUAAUAACAAACCUACAUCAAAGUAGAACUUAAAGAUUAAUACAAGCACCAUAUACUAACUUGUAUCAUGAUUGCUGCCGUAGUUUUCUUCCUAUAUCUAAACUCAUUACGGGCAGCCAUUGCCUGUAAACCUGUUUGGAGGACAAUAACUGAGAUUGUGAGUCUUUUGUAGGACAUCCUCGCUGAGUAUCCCCGCAAAUUGGUCUGAAUUUUAAUAGAAGCAGCUUCCUUUCUCAUAUUUCCAUAUAAUUUGCAAGCAAGGCUUCCUAUAAUUCAUAACAAAGACAAUGUUAAUUAAAUGAUGUAUGAUAUACAAAAAUAGGCAUUGAUGAAGUUAACUCAUCUCCUUGUCAUGCAAAGAUGGUGAAAACUAUAUGCAUGAGCCAUAAUAAAAUGUGCUUCCAAUAAGUGCAUUAAGUGAAACACCCUUUCCUUUUUAUAGAAAAUUAUGGAAAUAGCAACAACAACAACACAAACCUCUACAGAAGGCUUGCAUACAAAUAGCAGCCCCCUGCAUAGCAAGAAAAUAUUUUCGAGUAAUAUGAGUUCUAAUCUUUCUUUGAAUAGUCUUGGCUGCAUUGCUAAGCUUUAAUGCUCUCCGCGUAUCUAGAUCAGCCAUCUGACCAGCUCUCAAGAAAAUUUUUGUUUUUCCUAUCUGCAAAACCAUUUUGUCAUUUAUGUGAUGCAUAGAUACCACAUGGUUGGAAACAGAAGAUUGGAAAAAGUGUGAGGAAAUCGAUGAUACACAGAUGAUUGUUGUAUAUGUGGAUGUUUAAACUAUAAUGUGAGGAAAUCGAUGAUACACAGAUGAUUGUUGUAUAUGUGGAUGUUUAAACUAUAAUGUGAGGAAAUCGAUGAUACACAGAUGAUUGUUGUAUAUGUGGAUGUUUAAACUAUAAUGAAAAUAUCAAUCAAGUUGUAACAAAGAAGAAAACAUGAGAAACCCUUUAACCCCUCCCCCCCCACACCCCCNNNNNNNNNNNNNNNNNNNNNNNNNNNNNNNNNNNNNNNNNNNNNNNNNNNNNNNNNNNNNNNNNNNNNNNNNNNNNNNNNNNNNNNNNNNNNNNNNNNNAGGGUUUCAAUUUUAUAGGGAAAAAUGAAAAACAAAGUAUCUUUACGAAAUACAAAUAAUAUAUUUUACUAUUUGUACGAAGUAGGGGAACCGAGAAGGUCUAUAUGGUUUGACCCUUUACUGUUUGGUUCAUAUGCUGCCAGAUGGCACAAUGGGGAACUCCAUGAAGAUUCGCUCUUUUAGAAGCUAUUACAAAUAAAGAUACUAUCAGGAAUUAAACACGUGCACUCCAUGUGGGCCCCCCUCCAGUUAAUUAAUAAUCCUUAACUUCUUGUAAGCAUCUAGAAGAAAAAUGUAAUACCCGGUAAAAAUAAAUAAAAAUAUAUUUUUAAAACUUAUUGAUUGGACUGUCUUUGGGUGAAAAUAGUCAUUAAAUUUAUGUGGGCUAAUAAUGUAUUGAUAAGUGAGGGAUAUAUUAAUUUGGAAGAAUUGAGCCUUAAAAGUAAUUGGGUUUAAUUUAUAUGUGAGUAAUAUUAAAUCCUAUUAUAAUUAGGAGAAUUAGGCAACAUGAAGUUUGUUUAAUCUAUAUAUGUACAUGUAUAGUUAACAUGUUUGUAUGCUUUUUGACAUGAUUCUGAGUGGUACGGAAUAUAUAUAUAUAUAAAAAUAAAUAAAUAAACAAAUAAAAUUAAUGUUGAUAAUGUUUUAUAAUAUAAUAACAUAAAAGUUAAAUUAUAAUUAAACAUUAUAAUUAAUAGUAUUUUAUUAUUAUGUUUUAUUAGAUCGGAUUGAAGAAGAUUAGCAAAACUAUAUUUAUUUGGGUAUUAUAUUGCUCAAUCUAGAUACGUAUUACAUACUCCUUUAGCGAUACUCUUGUAAAGUUUAAUUAGUUCGUUUUGUUCCUCAUUUCAAAUUUCAUUAUUGUUUUACAUAAUUGUUCAUUGUGAAAUUAAUAUGAUAGUUUUAUAUUGGCGUUGAUACAUAGAACUCGUAUUUCUACUCUUUAAAUUAGGUUAACAUAUGUCUAGUAUAUAUUUUGAUAUUUGUAGAAAUGUACAUGUCAAUAUAUUUUAGACACUUUGUGUUGAUGAUUCGUUUCAAUUUGACAUGUACACAUUAAAACCCCUUGUGUUGGUAUUUUGUCGUAGUACCACAGGCAUGUUCUCUUGGUACCAAGUCAUGACACCUUUUGUGACGGUGUGAUCAGUCCACAACAUCUCCAUUUUGUGCUCCGGUGAGAGUUGGUCAUAUAGUGAUUUUGUUGUGAGAGAUGUAUGGGACGACCCUAGAUUUCUAUUCUGCAGAUUGAAGAUGUUUGUGCCGAACUCGCCUUCCAAUUUUGCAUGCAUCUGAAUCCGGUCGGUCCGAUGUAUGUUAUGCAUGUGUGAUAUUAUUUUGACUUGUCUGUGUGGCAAGAUAUAUUUUUGUUUUGAGCUCGGUAUGAAAAAACAAUCAGCCAUUUGAUUCAGCCUACUAUUUCGUUGUGAUAGUUUUGUUUGUUUCAGUUCAGUUCAGGUUACUGAGUUAUUUAUUUUUGUUCAUUAUUUUUACACUCUAUAUUCAUAAUGGGCAUUUGGCUCAUGUUGCGUUUUUCCUUCCUGCAGGUAAUCAGGGGAUCAAGGGCAAGUGUGAUGAGAGCUCCCUUUUAUCCAAGUGGUUUAAAUAUUUUGUUUAAGCUUUGAUACUUCGAUUUGUGUUAUGGAGUUAUUUAGUUAUUGGAGUUGUAAUAAAUAUCUUAGAUUAUGGUUUGAGUAAAUUUGGCAUUAUUAUGGUUUGACUUGUGGCAUUUAUUAGUUAUUAGAGUAAUUCAUUUUGUGGCAUAGAACUCUCGAGUUAUGUUUUGUGCGUAACCUCUCUUUCUAUUUUGGAAAGGGGGUUACAAAAAAACUCAAGCUAUGGAUCAACAAUAUAAAAGAAACAAGAGUAAUUGCUUUAAUCAAUAAAAAGGAAUUAAAUACAAUGAUACAGUUAUCAUUUGGAAUGUAGGAAUUAUAUUUUGAAGACAAUAGAUGCAAAAGACAACACUUCAAUUAAACCCUCUCAUAGCAUAAGCCCUAUAAGGCCUUCUAAAUUUCAAAUUUCCAUGUCAUCACCUAUAACAAGCCUCAAACAAUUCUUAGAGCACAAAAUAUAACACAAAUUUGUUGAAAAAAAUAUUUAUGAUAUUGGAGUUUACCAAGUAAAGACCAAUUUUACCUGAGAUCCCUUGAGCUCCAUCUUAUCCAAAAUCUUUUUGCAUGCAACCUUUUCCUCAUGACUGCAAAUUUAUGCAAAAAACCCAGAUGUAAGAAACUAGCAAUGUUAAAUACACCAAUAUUACCAAGAAUNNNNNNNNNNNNNNNNNNNNNNNNNNNNNNNNNNNNNNNNNNNNNNNNNNNNNNNNNNNNNNNNNNNNNNNNNNNNNNNNNNNNNNNNNNNNNNNNNNNNAGUUGUUGCAUGACAUUGACAUUCUCAAACACAGCAGGUUUAAGAAGAUUAUUAGGCUUGACGCAUCUAAUGUAAUGGGGUUCUGUAGAAUUUAGCGUUUCCAUCAAUUGUUGGAGUUGUACCUGCACAAAAUGUUAGAAAUAUAAGUUUUACCUUUAUGCAGUAGGAAGGACAUUAAAUGAUUGGUCAUAAAGCCGUGCAUUUGCAGAAACCAUAGCCCAUUGACAGCUUGCUUACCGAAAAAAAUUCAUUACAAUCGUACACAAGAUUUAAAAAUAGAUCAUACCUUAAACCGAGCUCCUAUAGACGAGAACUUGGAAGAUUUGGAUGAUGAUUUAGUAUUCUCCUCGGGGAGUGGUGGGAAAAGGCCUGAUACAAAAGAGCAUUUGGAAGCACUCAACAAAUCUUGAUGUUCGGGAACAACAUAGUCUUUAUUCUUAUCUAGAAACUGAUCAGAUUGAUAAAGGACCUGAAAUUAGUCACCAGUAAGAAGAUACAUUAAUGCAUAAGCAAUUUACAUUAACAGCCGUAGAGUAAAUGUAGAAGGAACUGAAUAAUCCAAACCUCUCCAGCAUAAUGAGCAAUAGUAAAAUCGGUCCGCGACAGUUUUGGUUUGAUAAAUCGUUUAUGAACUUUGAAUGUCUGGUAAAGCUUUUGUGAAAAUGUUUCAUGAGUUGACUUGGGAAACAUACUGAAAGUAGAACAAGUCCAUCAUAAAAGCAGAAAAGUUAUUUCAGCAGUAGUAAGUAGAUGGUUAUAAUGCUGCACUUGCAGACAUGCACACAAAAGAUUCUCUCAGACAAGCAUACAUUAACACACAAAUAUAUCAACAUUUAUAUAUAUAUAUAUAAAGUGAGUGAUGUUAGUUUUCCUACCAGGCUUCAUCAAGCAGAGCGAUGAUCCCUCCAGGUUUCUGCAAAAGCAGUACAAACAGAGUCUGUGAAAACAGGUUAUUUGUAAAAUAUGUAUAACAAGCUGAACUAGUAGCACUGAUAACUGUACUCUAAACAUAUUCGAUAUGUAAGGAAAGCAUUCAUUAUCAAGUGAAUUAUCUGGACUCAAAACCUUAUAGAAUAUUGAGCAAUAACAUAUCAAAACCAGGGAAGAAAAAAAUAUCCAAAAGGAUGAAAUGAAGCAGGAUAAAUGCAAUGAUGGAACUCACAGUAUCCCACUAAAAUAGACUAAAAGGUCAUGGCAUCUCAUGGGAUCCCGUGGAGCAGAAGUAAAUGUUCAUAAAUAGACUAAAAGUUCACCUUUUCAAUAAGAUCCAGGACAUCUUGGUUAUCAACAAAUUCUAUGUAGCUCCAGUCAAUCUCCUCUUUUGUGUACUCUUCUUGUUCCAUCUUGAACACGUGCUGUAUAUCACAAUAACCAAAUUAUAGUUUGAAAAACCAUGUUAAAAUGUUCUCACCAGAGAUGUCAAAAUUACUUGCCUGGUUAAAAUGUUGUUGCAGCUUCUCAUUUGUGAAAUUAAUACAGAACUGUUCAAAGCUGCACAGAUGAAUAUAAAUUUUAAAGCAAGUAACAAUAUUUGAGUCACCAAUGAAGUAACUAAAAUAAUUUAGGCCAUGCUUUGAAACAGAAUACAUAUUUUAGAAAAGCUGUGUAAUUUGAGAGAAAAUCAGGAGAAAAAGGGUAAAAAUGAGACACUUUGAUAGAUGAGCAAAGUACAAUUUGCACAAAAGUAAUGGUAGAGGAAAGAGAGUAAAAAAGUAUCCUUGGUGGCCCCACAAGAUUAUACUUUUAUGCCAACACCUUCUCCAACUUAUAAGCAGGUAGAAAUUGCUUUUAUAUUUUUAGAAGUAAAAGAUUGAACUAGAAUAAAAUUUUAAAGUAAGCUGAAAAUGAUGGUAAUGAAAAAACACUAAUUUCCCCACGAACUCUCAUAGCACCAAAAAAGCAUAAAACAGAACUAACAAGAAUGCAUUCUUGCAUGCUCAUUCCAAACAACUCUUUAUACUAUCAAUUAAUACCUGUUAGCUUUGAAGCUUUCAAAACCAUAUAUGUCAAGAACCCCAAUCAGAGAUUUGGAGUUAGGAUCUUGGCCAAUUGACUUAUUGAUUUUAUCUACCAACCUGUCAAUAUAAAAGUCACGCACCCUUAGCAUCAUUACAAUGUUUAAGAAACAAAAGGAAAUAUAAUGAUACAUUACGGAAUAAGUGAAAUCCAAUAGGACACUCUAAUCUUACCAGUCAAACAAGCGUGAGUAUAAAGUCUUAGCUAAACCAUCCCUGCUAACUGUUGCAGCAUCUGGAUCAAGACUUCUCUUGAUAACUUCUUCUGGAGUGACCAUUACGCGCUUCAGUAGGGCAUCUUCCAAUGCAUGUAGAUCACACCUAACAAUUUUCAAUUUACUUGACAUAAACAGACUGAUAAAAGGUAACAUAAAACAUGGUAAAGAUAAUGGGACUCUAGUCAUACAUGAGAAGAUCUACUGUCAUUUGAAGGUGGAACUUGGACUUGUCAUCUUUUAGAACUGAUGAAUCAAUUUCUUGCCCCUUAGUAAAUUCAACAUUACCAAGAUGGAGAAUUGCAGCCACGACUCUGAAAAUUGCUUCCUGAGAGUGUGGGAGGGACUUACUAUAUGGAUCCAAUAGUGAUUCAGAAACAUUUUGAGCACAGAUAUUAUACCUGUUCAGUUUCACUUAUGCCAACUAUAUCCAUGGCUCUCCUAGUGGCAAGAUACUCUUCAGCAUCAUUAACACCAACGAGUUCAUGGCAAUUUGAUUGAUUAAGAUAGUGAAAUGUUUUAGAAUUUCCCAGCUUAUAUUUCUCAAUUUCCUGAUAAGAAGUGACAAGUUUAAGAAGGCUGAAAUAUUAGUAAAGUGAUGAGUGAAGUUAAAGUGACAACCUACCUCGGAUGGUGCUGCACAAAGAAGGUAAAAACAGUGAUAGUUCCGUUCAGGAUCUGAAACCUGGCAAACCCGAGAUCUCUCAAGAAGGUAAGUUCUAAUAGCUGCUCCUGAUAUUCUUCCAUGUUUAUCAAACUGAAGCUCAACAAAUUUACCAAAACGGCUGCCAACAUAUUUAAAGAGCAUGUAAGAACAGACUGCCAAAGUUUCAGAAAUGUGUUCUAAUAUCAAAGAAACUGUUACAUAGCAUGACUAUUGACCUGGAAUUAUUGUUUCUAACAGUUUUUGCAUUUCCAAAUGCCUCCAAAACUGGAUUUGACUGCAUUUCCAUGAAUGAAAAAGUAAAAUUUUAAAAUAGGUCAAAGCAAAGCAAUAAGGGAGCAUAAAUUUACUAGAAAAUCCUCCAUCUAUUAUUCUUUUCAAGAACUUGAAGAAAAAUAGGAAAACAGUACUGCAAGUUUGUAGCUCUAGUUUGCUACAUGUUUUAAAGUUUUUAAUGUGAACCGUAACUUAUAAUAUAUCUCUAAGAAAAUUAGAAAAGACUUGUUGUCUAUGUUCUACUAGGGAAGGACAAAAUGCAGCCACAUAUAGCAUUAGGAAGUCCUUAAGGACAUUUAGAUUAGUUGAAAGAUGUUAGAUGCGCUGGUGAGUAUAUCAGAUAAGAACAAUAAAUUACCACAUCUAUUUAGUUCCGAUAGCUAUUAUGACAAAAAUACAACAGAGUAUUUAAGAUCUCAAGGAUUCAUGGAACACCUUUUUGAAGCAGUUAAAGAAAAAGGUUUGUCCAGAAGGGUCUUAGACCUUUUUGUCAUAUAAGCCUUCCUUGCUUAUAAGUAGGAUAAAACUUGGACAACGCGUGUGGGCAAUGAAGCUAUAUCUAUAUCCAAGAUAAUCAUCAAGUACAGAUUUCUAAUACCAAGAUUGGCUGUAUGCUUGAUCUGUUAUCCGGUUAUGAAAUCUUUUCAAAAUGAUUUUCACAAAAUAAUAUGAAAUUUUAAAAAAAAUAAUAAAAGAGAGAGAGAGUAGAUGAGGGAAGCAUCUUUUAAUAAUGUUAACUAACCAACCCAUCUAAAAUCUUAACAAUGUAUAUCAUGCUAACACUCCCCCUCAAAUGCAACUUUUUAUAGAGAAUAGAGAAAUUAAAGUGCAUUUGCACUAUUAAAUUAAUAUAAAGACAAUUGCGUGACCGGGAAGAUUUGAGCCCAAGACCUUGCACAUCCAGAACUCUGAUAUCAUGUUAAGUAACCAACUCAUAUAAAAGCUUAAGCAAUUAGAUAGAGGGCCCAACAAUGUAGAUUAUGCUUACAAAUAAUAUUAAUGUUCCAAAAGAUAUUGAGGAGGAUAUGGCACGCACCAAUACUAGCAGAACCAGAUUUUGGACAAGAUUCUGAAGGUGGAUAGUGACGCAUCUAAGGUUGGCAAGUAUCUCAAGUCACAAAGGGCAUUAGGUUGCAUAUCACCUGUUGGGUUUUGCCUAUAGUAUGUUGAGGACCUUCUUCUUUGCUUUUGGUUAUUUUAGUGAUAGGAACAAUGGCCUAGGAUUUUUUAGUAGUGUGCAUGUAUUCUAUCCUAAGAUGUUUAUGGACAGAGGAUGCAACACCUAAAUCCCACAUUAAACAUGUGUGGGACGAAUUGAACUGUAACAAUAUAUAUCUUAAUUCUAUUACUAGUACCACUUGCUAUACCUUUUGGGUGGGCCAUCAUGACCCAUGUGGUGCUCUUCGGACAGUGGAUUGAGCCUUGAUUAGGGCCUUUUGAGGUGGCCUUUUGGGUGGGUUGAGUCAUUACAAAUUAUUUCAAAAAGUAGCCCACACAUGUCGAGGAUUGAUUCUAGGAUUUGACUGAAAAAUGUAGCCUGGGACUGGGUUAUACACACUAUUUGGGCCUGGCGAGGGUGUCAGAGAUUUAAGUGAGGGACGGAACAUGUGGGAUGGAGUGAACAGACAGAUAGUCAUUGGUCAUUAUAUGAUUGUUCAAUUAUUACGGGAUAGAGUUGCUUCCUAGCAUCUCAAUGGGCAUGGGGGUUGUUUCUUGUUCAACUGAUCUGAUUUGUUUGGCGAACGCCCUCUCCUCCAUUGCUUUAUAUCGUCCGUCGUUCCUUUUCAAUAAAAAUUUCUUCUUUUAUCUAAAAAUUAUACAUCUUAAUUACAUAAUUAGCAUUGGUGAUGAAUAUCUCUCAUCUAUCAAGUAAAUAGUGAGCAUGAAACCUGAAAUGCGGAAGAGACUUUUCACCAAGACAUAUUCAUCAUGCAUACAUAUUCCCUUACUUGCUGCCAGUUUCCAUAUUAUGCAGAAUAUCACCUUUUUAAUUCUGAAUGCCAAUUUCAUUUCUUUAUUUUGCAAGCACAUUGUAUGGUUUGAGCCUCAGACAAAGCCUUAAGGCACUAACCUGACCCUGGUUUUAAAGCAUAAGCCCAGAUUAUAUAUAGAUUGUUUGAGCAUUAAGCUAAAGUUAGUUUGUACAUCUUACUUCGAGAACUUGUUGUUCAACAGUCCGUCCUUCAGUGCCUUUACGCCCACCCAAAAAGGCAAGGUAGCGCAUAAGCAUUUUCGUAGUUUCAGUUUUGCCAGCCCCACUUUCACCACUGACUAAAAUGGAGUUGCUUUUUCCCUCAUUGAUCAUCGCCCUGAUUCAUUUCAGUCAAUUCAGUAAAUUAUUUGCACAUAAGGAAGAAAUCAGAACAAAAACAGAAUACAAGGUUACCUGAAAGCAACAUCAGCAAUUGCAAAAACAUGAGGACUCAGUUCUCCAAAAGGUGCUCCUUUGUAUUGUUCCAUCAUGUGACCAUCAUACAAGUGAGGCAAUCUUUGGAAUGGAUUAAUGGCAAUAAGAAUACUGCCAGUAUAAGUCUGCCAUAAUUCAGAGUAGAAUAUAAUAUCAUGACGCAACCGCCCAUAGCUUUCUCUCACCAAAAAAAACAAUAAUUAGUGAUGAAAAAAGUUGAAGACAAAAAAUUUCUUACAUAGAUUUCAUUGAGUUGAUAUCUAGCUGCCAAAUUCUGCAGAACUCCAGGCUCAUGCAGAUAAGAUAGCUUGGUCAUGUCAUCAACUCCACCAGCCGGAGCUUCCUCAUCCUUCGGAUAAAUUUUAGAUAAAUUUGCAACAACCUGACCAGUAGUAGAAAAGUUUGUGAGUCAUUGGAAGUUAAAUAAUAAAAAAUGAAAGCUAAAUGACCAUGUACUUGCAUGAACACUAAUUUAUGUUGUUACUUACUGACAAGUUUUAGCGGGUCUCUAAGCAUAGAAGAUGCAUAAUACUGAUUCCAGCAAAUUAUGCAAGUGGAAAAACUAAGAACAAUGAGAGGAAAAGAACAAAAGAACAAGAAAAACUUACAAACAACAAACCUGACAACUGAUAGACAUAUUUCCCUUCGCGAAGAUAUACUUAUACAGAAACGUAAGUCCCUCCUCAAAAACCCCAAAACCCAAAAAACCAACCAUAUAAAGAACUAUUUGUGUUACCGUUGUUUAACAAAAUAAAGUAAGUCGGAAUAAAUAUGAUUUUUCUGGCUUCUUAUAUGGGCUAUAAAUGAUAGUCUUGGCACUCACUCAGGAGUAGAUUCCAAAAUGGCCUAAUAUCAGCAUAUAAGAAAUCUAAACAAACAACAAUGAUAAGGUUAAGAGAUGUAGAGUUUCUAAAUUCUUUAAAAGAAUUAAGAACGUUAUGUUAACAUCUUAGAUAGAAAAAGUAGGAUUCAUGUAGAGCAGCUCUCUCUUCCCAAUGUAAUUGAAUUAUGCUUAUAAUGUAAGAUUGUCUUAAGCAAAUUUUAGUUGUUAAAAGUUAGUAACUUAUCAGGCUCUUUGAAACUGUUUAUUCUAAAACUAGGUACCUUCACAUCCUUAUGUUCUGUCAAAUUAUACAAAGGCCUAUGUGUCCAAGGAAAAUAGUUCCAGAAAAGCAUUAUUUUGCUUCAGUCCUUUCAUCUGAAACAAAUGUUUCUGCUGGGAAUUAAAAAACCAUUCAAGGCAAUAAGAAGUGUAAGAUUUUGUUUUGGAAGUUGAUAAUCAUGAUGUACAUGUAUACAUAGCAGUUAUUUUCUAUUGCCUAACAGUUCAGACAUCCAUUGAUGUGUGUGAAAUAUAUAUAAAUUAUAAAUUGCAUGCAAGACCAAUCGGAAUCUCUCUCUCUCUCUCCCUCUCUCUCUCACACACACACACAAACACACUAAAUUGCAGGGAGCAACAAGAAGCUUCAAUUCUGAACUCUGUUGACCCCACUGCAUUAGAAUAAUAUAAAAUUUUAGAGCAUAUUUUUAUCUAUCCGGUUUGACAGGAACAAGUUCUUUUGUGGGUCUUUAGAUGUGCUACAAUUUUCAUUUUUUGCUUAGCUUUUUAUUUUUCUCCCAGUUCCUUGCAUAAGUUGAAUGCACAUGUGCAGAGUCCUCUGGUGCUUGCUUGACAUUUCACUUAUGUAGGAAAAGGGAGAUGAAUAGAUACUGAAAUCAUAAUAUACAAGGGCAGUACUUUAAGUACUUAUUCAUUUGAUUGAUUAAUAUUUGACGUAGUACGAGCUUAUUUACCGUAUUCCCAUUAGUAGUCUGGAUUUCAACUUCUUCUCCAUUUAGCUUUGAUACUUGUCCAUCGAUCCAAGCUACUGAUGUGUCUUCAACCCAAACAUGAGAACCAACAAUAAUAUUCACUGCAGUGCCCUGUAAAAUUUUUAAAAUCAUCAGAUCCGAAAAGCCUAAACUAGUAGGAGAUGGCAACACACAGAUAUUCAUUAUACAGGAAUGAUAAGAGACUUUCCAGUUUCAUCUCAUAAAGUUAAUAAAUAAAUAUCUGUUUUAAGAAAAUAAGUUAGCUAAUCCAAAUAUAGCAAGCUAUGCUUUGUCAGUUCCCAUCCACAUAUACGUAAUCUAGAGGUAUAACUUAAAUGUAAGUUGAAUAGGUGAUGUUUAGGAAUGUCAAAACAUCAACCACCAUGUCUUUGGCAUUAAUAAUGUCUGGUGGAUACGUGAAUUAGUUUAAAAUUUGUUGCCUAGAAAUCUCAUUUUUAUUUGUCUACUGAAUUAGCAGUUGAGCUUUUCUCCUUUCUUCUUAUAUUGUUAUGUCUCAUUUUCAUCCAUGAAAUCAAGAUUCUUAAUUUCUUCUUUAACUCUUCCAUUAGCUAUUCAAUAAAAUUGUUACUAUUAUGAUACUCGGAGAAGAAUAUAUAUAUAUAUAUAUAUAUAUAUAUAUAUAUAUAUAUAUAUAUAUAUAUAUAGUGUCAAAUCUGUUUUCACGCCUCACAAAGUGUGAUGAAACCGAAACACAUAGUAUUUGGUUUUAUUUUAGAAGAAAAAAAUCUUAACUGCUAAAAGAAACAGGACGAAAGGACAGUAAGUCCACUCUAAAGAGAUAAAAGAAGAACAAAAAAAGUAUAGCUCUCCCGUCCCUACAUAAAUCUGAAAUUAAGGUGCCCCAAAAUGCUAACAUAGCUGAAGCCUAGAGCCAUGCAAGAAAAUGACUCGGUCUCUCAAACCAGUGGAAAGCUAACUGUUUUCCCUAAAGGGUCUCAUACUUCAUUUUGUUCAAAUCUCACACAAAACUAGAAAAUAAUUACUUACAAAGCACUUUGUUAUCCUUACUCUUCCCAUACCGCUAUAUUUGAUCAUCAAAAAUCCCCUUCAUAAAGAAGGGAACCCGAAGCUUUCUCAAACAACCAAAAGAAUAAUGCAUAGGCUCCAAGUAACAGGACAAUACAGGAAGAAAUGGGAAUGUGUAUCACUAUUCUGCAAACCAUAACACAUAUGCCCAGAAGCAGAGCUUAAAAGUUAUACAUACUGGAUAAAAGUCAUUAGUACCAAGACAGUUAAACUGAAGGGGCAGUUUUUCCUUUUAGUCUAUUAAUGGCGGUAGAGAAGCUCCAGUUAUUAUGUUCCACUCCUCUCUGAACUCUAGUUUAAAUUUUUCACAAGGGUACUAAUGUAGAUAAUUUCAGUUAUUAAUGUCCCGUGAAAUAGUAACUAAAACAAGGAAGAGCCUAGCACCAACUCUCCUGAAGUCAUCGACUGCCAUACUCCAAUAAGAUUCAAGUAAUUGCUCUAAAUUUAUAGUAGCCAUGCCCUGCAUGUAAUUUGGACAACACGCCCGGGCUCCCGCCCCGGCCCCCACCCCAACUAUUUCUUCUUAACAUAAGUUACAUUCAAUAAACAUAAUAUUUGGUUUAGCCAUACUUUCCAAUCCAAACACAUUCUCUUUCUUUUCUUAACAUCGCCACCAAUGCUGAUGGUCUAAAACCCAACAGUACUUCUAUAUUAGGAUUCCCAUUCCCAUAAUUCCAUUCCAAUACAUGAAAUUUUCUACAAUCUGUCGUGAAAUUUUUAAAUGUUAGAUUCGUAUAUCCCAACUGGCAUGAUAACCAUGGCAUGAUAACCAAAUCAAGAGUUAAUUUGGACAAUGAAAAUAUUAAUUUAGUUACAAAAAAUAAAUUAAUGCAGAUGUACAUAGUUAAAAGAGACAUACCAUUGUAAUUUCGCAUGAAAAGCUCGACUAUAUCGUCUUCUUCAAAUACUAAACAUCAUCAACAACCAUUUUGGUCUUAAUAAUCUGAAAAUUGAGAUUCACCAAAAUGUUGGGGGUUUUGGGUAUUCUCGGAGCUGGAAAUAAUGUCUCCGUCGUAGAAUUGGGAAAUCUCCAGCGAUUGGACGAACGAUCGGAUUUGAGUAGAUGGUGGUGAAGUGGCCGUUGAUUGGUGAAGUGGGUGUUGUUGUGGAUGUGGAUUGACAUUGUUUUCUUGAAGAAAUCUACAAAUCCGGAGGCGUUGAAUCCUUUCGCCCGCUUUCUGUGAGCUUCUUGUGGCUCCCUUUGUCUCCUCUUUCCUCUAUUUCUCUCCUCUCUCCUCCGGUAUACGUUUUUGGCGGGGGGAGAGAGAGACAUGUAACGGUGUGUUUGGAUGUUCAUUAACCUUACACUCAGUUUUAAAUGGACGAAAGAGAAAAUUACGAAAAAUUAAGUUUUUUGUUUUCAUAUUCAUCAUAAAGGAAAAGUACAGAUAGUAAUUAAGAAAGAAAACAUCAUAAUAAUUUAUAAGUCUUUUUUAUAUAUAUAUAUAUAAACUUAGUAACAGCAACAUGAAAAUAUAUAUAUAUAUAUAUAAUUAUUUAUUUAUUUUAUUUUUCUAUCUUAGUUUAAAUUUUUCGUAUUUCUCCCUAUAAAAAUAAAUAAUAAAUAAUAAAAUUUCCCUAGACUAAUAAAUAUAUUCUAUAAAAUUUUAAAUAUUCAUCAAAAAGAAAAUAUAAAGUAAUACUCCUUUCAUAUAUUAUAGUAAAUAAUAAAACUUUGUUAGUAUAAAAUAUGAUGACAAGAUUUAUUGUUAGAUAUAGAUGUUGAUGCUGGUAAACUCAUUUUCUCAACAUUUUAUUUGUUUGUAAAUUUUUUUAUUUUAUUUUAACUAUAUAAUAAAUUAAAUUACUGUAAUAAUUAUGUUAGGUUGUUAAAAUUAAUCUAUGUAAAAAAAUUUAAAGAAUAAAAAAUAAAUAAAUGUUUUGUCAUGUGAUCGUGAAAGUGAGUGACUCAGUUUUCUUUUAACUCGAAUCGGAAACUAACUCGGCGAGACAACCAGUUUCCUCGCUCCCGCUAAAGUGUGAGAAUCUGCACUGUAUUGCUCCUCCAUUAAAAUUCCCAGUAAAGGUCAAAAUCUUGAAAAAGAAGAAACCGUCCUAAGAUCUAUAAUCCUUUUUAAGGUUCUGAAAAGGUGGAUAAACGGUGAGUGAAACAGUUGAGCAAAGAAUUCACGUAUCUAAAUAGAGAAUUCCCAAUUUCCCAUUUUCGCAGAUCAUAGGAAUUGAUCAAUUAGUGACAGAGAGAGAUGGCCUGUAAAUUUAUGUAAUUUUGUAGUUCGUAGAAUUGACUCAGAUUGUGAAUAAUUCAAUACAGAUUUUUCAGGGUGAGCAUAUACACACAUAUAUAUAUAUAUAUAUAUAUAUAUAGAAGAGAUGUCCCCUUCUUCAUCUUCCUCAUUCACUAGCAAAGAUUCCCAGAUUCAAACCCUAACCCUAAUUCCUGGCCUCCCAAACGAUCUUGCGGGAUUAAUCCUCUCAUUUAUUCCCUACUCUUACCAUGCCCGUCUCAAACCCACCUCCAAAUCAUGGAAAAUCUUCUUCUCUUCCAAAACCCUAAUCUCUCUCCGCCAGAAGUCCAAGCUCUCUCUUUCUCACCUCAUCUGUAUCUUCCCUCAAGACCCUUCUAUUUCCUCCCCUUACCUCUUUGACCCUCAAAACCUAGCUUGGUGCCCUCUCCCACCAAUGCCCUGCAAUCCCCAUGUAUAUGGCCUCUGCAAUUUCACUUCCAUUUCCAUUGAUUAUCACUUGUAUGUUCUAGGUGGGUCACUUUUUGACACCCGGUCCUUUCCCAUGGACCGCCCAUCGCCAUCUUCCUCCGCCUUCCGCUUCGACUUCCUCACCCAGCAGUGGGAUUCUCUUUCCCCAAUGCUUUCGCCUCGUGGGAGCUUUGCCUGUGUGGCAAUCCCGAAUUCGGACAGGAUUCUUGUUGCUGGAGGUGGGUCUCGUCACACUAUGUUUGGUGCUGCAGGGAGUAGGAUGAGUUCUGUGGAGAUGUAUGAUAUUGGGAAAGAUGAGUGGGUGGCAUUGGAUGGGCUGCCACGGUUUCGAGCUGGGUGUGUUGGAUUCUUGGUUGGGAAUGGGGAGGAUAGAGAAUUUUGGGUUAUGGGCGGAUAUGGUGAGUCUAGGACUGUUUUGGGAGUGUUUCCGGUGGAUGAGUAUUAUAGAGAUGCUGUGGUGAUGAAGAUGAAGAAAGGUGGGAAGUGGAGGGAGCUUGGGGAUAUGUGGCAAGAAGGGGAGAGGAGGCGGCUGGGGAGAAUUGCUGUGGUUGAGGGUGAAGACUGGGAUGCUCCUGGUAUUUUCAUGCUUGACAAGAGUGACAUCUUCAGGUUAGUUUGCAUUUUUUUGUCUGUGAAUUCUGAAGAUGUGAGUAAUUAUUCAUUUAUUUGACUGCUUACAUUUUGUUUUUUGUGCUGUUCAGCGCUGGGUAAUAUUUGUUUAUGCAAUCAACAUAAUGAAAAGAUAAUAACUUGCUAUUCAUGAUGUUAUAUGAUUGCCUUCUCCUCAAGGGAGUCCUGCAGUAGUCUUUUUAAGUUACUUGGCUUUAGAAUUGGGGUGGAUUUUGGACAGACUAGUGUUCAUGUGUUGUUGAGUGAACUUAGUAGUUUAUUUAGAGAUUGCUCUGGUUGGUGAACUUCCUGUUCUUUGUUUGGGAACAUGUAAGUACUGUUAUUUUUUAAAAAAUAAGAUUGCACCAAAAACUCAAUGCUGACAAAGGUUGAGAAGAAUCAUCAUUAACAACAAGUUAAACAUAUCAAUUUGGUAAGUCUUAAUGAGUUUACUAUGUCAUGAUACAUUCCUAUUUGUGUGAUAACCUCAGCCAUCUCAGAGCCUGGUAACAUGACUGAUCCCUAGAUGUGUUCUUCGAUGAUGAGUGUAAUGAAAGCAUUUCUUUCCGUUGUUGUGAUUUACUAUGAAUACUAUGCACACACCAUUUACAAGAGUUUCAAUUUCCUCAUCAGUCGUCAUCUUUACAGAUAAAAAAUGAUACAAAAACUAUAUAUAUUUGGGAAUAUAUGAAUAUUUCUAGAGAAUCAGUACAUAUUUUUGUUUUAUAAGUAUCAGAUUAUCAGUAUAUGUUUGUACUGCUUAAAGAAAAUUAGUAGUUUAAACAUGGGUAUACUGGUUGAUCUUGGAAUGUGAAUUUUCUCGAAAGGUUUGUGUAAGAAUAUUGGAUGCAUUUGUUUAAGGAAUUGGUCAUCUUCAAAAACUAUCACUGCUAAGUUUACAUUUCGUAGAUCAUAACUACACUUCCAGCUUGUUCACUUGGCUUAUGUGAUUGUAUUUAGAAAUUAUAAUAGGAAUUAGAAAAGACUUAUUUAUACUACCUUCAUUCCAUAAUAAUCGACUUUUUGGAAGAAAAAAUUUGUUCCAAUUUAUUUAUCGUUUACAACUUUUUAGGAGAAUUUAUUAUUUAUUUUCCUAUAUCACCCCUAACUUAUCUCAUUGUCCCUAAAAAUUUUCUCUCUUGUAUUAAUAGUUUUCAACUUCCCAUAAAGGGGUAGUGAUAAAAUUUUAUACAAAUUUUAAUUCUUAAAUGAUAGUAUUAAAUGACUUUCUUAAUUUAAGUGUAUGAAUCUAAAACGACUAUUAUUAUGGAACAGAGGUAGUAUUAGUUUUUUGUUCAUCCAAUUUCGUUUAUUUUUCAGUCUGGUUUUCACUUUUGAGGUGAUUGGUAUUUUUUGGUUUCUCCUUGUGCCUACUAUAUACUCAUUGUGGCCAUGGGAACCGACCCCAUUAAAUGGUUUUCUUUAAUAGUUAUUACUUAUUAAAAAAAUGUUUGCUAUUUUUUAUUGUACUUAGAGCAAUGACCUCAGGCUUUCACCAUGGUUUUCUUUAAUAGUUAUUACUUAUUUAAAAAAAUGUUUGCUAUUUUUGAUUGUACUUAGAGCAGUGACCUCAGGCUUUCACCACUGCAACACGCAGUAACCCAUGUACUUUGUAUACAUGGAGUACUUUCCAGGUGGGGGAUAUCACUCUACUUCAUCAUUUCAUGAGUGGGGGAUGUCGCUAGAUUUCAUCAUUUCUUCUAGUACAAGUAUGGCAGUUUACUACUGCAGUUGCUUUGGCUUCCUCAAUGAGAGAGUAUUGUUUUUGCAACAUUAUCAAUGGGUUAUAUAUUUGUUUGUUAUCUUUUUUACUUUUCUUUUUUUGGGUUUGUUGAGAUUCAUCUGAUUUUUGUCUGACUGUACAACAGGUAUGACAUGUCUUCAAACAGUUGGUGGAAGGAGACAAAUGUGCCAAGAAAAGCCACAGAUGAAUCUUCAAUUGGUUUUGUUGCUUUGGAUGGAGAGCUGCACAUGUUAAGUCUUCUGAGUGGAAUUGAUUCAACUGAGAGCCGUAGGUCAAGACAGAAUAAGAGGUCAGCAACAUUAUUCGUACAGAUAUAUAAUCCUAGAAGGAAGAAAUGGAGAUCCCUCAUCACAAAGCCACCUUUCAGCCACCCUCUAGAUCUCAAAACUGCAGUCAUGUGCACCAUUCAACUGUAGAUUUAAAAGCAUUUUCUGUUGUGCAAUGCUGUUAAUUUUCUUUUUUUUUAAAAAACAGAGGUUAGUUCAUCUAGUAUAACCUGUGUUCUGUGCUGUUAUAUGCCACUGUAUAGCUUGAUGAGGAUGAUUGUCUUUGAAAAAACCUUAUUGUAUUGGUGGUUUAGCAAUGAUUUGUACAUAAAGUAAAUAAACAUGGAUUUGUACAUCUUAUUGUGUGGAGUGAAAUUUUCCCGAUCUCCUUUCUUACUUGUAUAUAUGAGGCAAUCCUAUUUGAUUGCCACUUACAAUGUGGUUACUUGUAUACAAGAGGCAAGCCUAUUUGAUUGCUACUUACAAUGUAAUCAUGUUAUUGCCCCUGCACUCGCAUUGAAUGCUGAAGAUUGUAUGCCAUUUACUGCAUGUAUUCCAGUCCUUAAAUAACUUAAACUUGCUGAUCUUAACAUCUAAGACUCAUCAAAGAUUGUAGGAGCAAUAGUGAAUAAGAAAGCGAGCAUUUCUUAUUAUGUAGAUAUUGCGCAAUGAUCAUAGUUUUUAGACUUUAAAUUCCCUGAACUAACUUACAGAAUGAGGAACCUACCUGCUAAUGACAGAUUUGCCUUUCUUACCUGUGAGGCAUCUUUCCCAUAUUCAUAAAUAUCUUGCACUCUGGGUAAUGCAGGUGAAUGUCUCGUAAACAACACGCAAUCUACUUUCUCCAUCACGAAAAGGCAAAAAAAAAAAAACAAAGAAGCAACUUAUCUGCAAUGGUAGUAAAACCGGCCAAAAUCAGUUCAGUAGGCCUACCAACCAACAGUUUUUUUAAAGUUGCACUAUUGCAUAAGUCGUGUUCCCUCCUAAACAUGAAACUACCAUGUCAUAACUAAUAGAUCAGCAAAACAUUAGUCACCCUACCAUUAAGAUUCUCCAGAGAGUCUUGAUGUUUGACAACCCUGGGUCCUAUUAUCACUUUUUAGUUCUACACAAGCAUCUCUCAGCCAAAAGUCCUACAUAGUCACAUUAAGGUCCUUGCCUUCACGAUUUGCCACCAUGAUCUUUAACAGACUCUGUAAUCCCAUUGUCCUCUUUCUUUGAACUUCCUGCCACCUUGCUUGCACCAUGCCAGCCCUCCCCAGAAGUGCUUAGACCAAAAUUAGGAAACACCGCAGUCCCACCACUUCCCAUACUGCUCUCACUCUGUAGUGAGUGGCCUCCACUAGUCCCAGAAGAGCUGAUGCCAAGCUGACUCUGCAAGGCUUGUUGUUGCUGAAGUGCCAAAUAUGGCGGCUGCUGACCAUAAAACAUAGACGGGCGAGCUGCCAUUGCCAUUACUGGAUGUGAAACCAUCUGUUGGGAUUGUUGGUGUUGCAUAUAAUUCAUGCCUGCCUGUAUUACCCUUAUUGAGUGAGAAUUGUGAAUAAUAAAUCACAUACACCACCAUAUGUUGUCCCUAUAUUACAAGUUCUUGGUACUAUAGGAUGCAUGAUAAUCAUAAUGAGCAGCAGAGAUUAAGUGCGGGCUGUUGUUCGGUUAUUUGAUGGACACAAUUUAUGCAAAUUUUUUACCUGAGCGUAUAUAGAGGAGGGCGGUGGUUGGCAAUCAGCUAUUGCAGCCAGGUACAUAAGGUUAUGCUGAAGCCUAGCUUGGUUCCUGCAACGAAGGAAAAAUGGUUGGUUUUAAUAUAGAAACAAUAGAAUUAAUUAGGGCUAAGAGGAAAAUGAAGUCCAGAGUCUAAAGUUAUAAUGGGGUGACUUACUCUGCACAUUCACCGAGUUUCCCUGAAUUUUGGUUCUCAAUAAUUUUCAAGAUCAACGACUUGUUCUCAUCCAGGUACUGCACAUCACAUGCAAAUCCAAUAAAAUAGUGGAGUGAUUAGUUUUAAAGGGGAAAUCGAUGAUUCCUUGACAAGUUUUUUUUGUGAAGAAAGAAAUUUCUUGUUAAAAACAUAUGGGGAAAGUAUUUGCACAAGUUUCCUAUCUGAUUGAUCCCUUUCAACAUACUAGAAAUUGCUCCUCUCAACUCAACUCUGCCUAGGACUAGGUGAGUAAUAAAUUUGCAGGAAACCACAUCAACCUGUUUUGUUUCCAGAGUUUAUUAAUGGUUCCUUAAAAUCAAAUAGGUCACAGGGCCCCAACCAAACACACAAGAAAACGAAAAUCAAGAAGCAGAAUGUAUCAAUACAAGGUCUCAAUUAAAAAAAUUGGAGACAAUAGUUAAUGUAGACCAUUAGCAUUAUAUAAAUGUUAAUUAAAAAUAAAAUUAAAGUAGGGAUUUUGAGAGAGAGAGAGAGAGAGAGACCUGUUGAAUGUGAUGAGUAGUGAUGGUGGUGGUGUUGAAAGCCCCACGAGUGGGCUGCUGUUGCUGCUGCAUGAGCUGUUGCUGCAUUCCUUCUUUCUUCUUUCUUCUUUCUGUUUAAUUUGUUUUUCUGAGCUACUUUUCGGUAGGCAGCAGAAUCAAAAAAGAAAGAAAACACCAAGACAAGAACAUUAUACUACUACCUUUCUUUCUUGGGAUCCUCCUUCCCUCCCUUCAAAGUCACAGCUCUUCUAUCACUAUCCUACUCAUUAGCCACGUGUGCAUAUUAGUGUUUGUCAGUGUAUGCGUGUGUAUUUGAUACUAGUAUAGAGAAAUACAAGAGUUUGGGUCCAUAUAGUUCUAUAACCACAUUUUUAUAUAAAAAUAUCAGAAGAAAUAUCAAUUUCCUUUAUUUUACGAGAAGCUAUACUAUUAGAAUUCCAUUUCAUUCUAACGAUUAGAUUAGAGAGAGAGACCGGAAAAAGAGAGAAUUAAAGAGUAUUUAAUAUGAAUAAUGUUACGGACAUAAAUUAUUUUAUAAAUAUUUUAUAAACUGUUGAUGUAGCAUACUCCACCUCAUCAUAUUGAUCAUCAAUUAGUCUUUGGCCCCACAUAAAAGCUGAUAUAGAGUAUGCCACAUCAAUCAGUUUGUAAAAUAUUUGUAGAAUAAUUUGUCUCUAGCAUUUUUCAUUUAAUAUAGUAUAUGUUGGAUUCUGACUUCUUACUCAGAAUUAAACUCAAACAUGUAAUAUCUUAUAUUUAAAAAUAAAUUAAAAAAUUUAUUACUUAAUAGUACUCACUCCUUCCUUCCCUAAUUAUUUGACAUUUUAGAGGUAGGAAACAUUAAAUAUAAUACUCAAUUGUCUAUAAUACCCUUAAAUAUUUUAUUGGGAUAAAGAGAGUUUUGUUACGAUAAGAAGAGAGAAAGAGUUUAAAGUAUUAAAAAAAUAGGCAGAGUAAUGAGAGGUAAUUUUGAAAAAAUUGUGAUUAAUUCUCUUAAAUUUAAAUAAAUAUCAAAUAAUUAAAGAUAAAUAAAAAACGUCAAAUAAUUAGUGACGGAGAGAGUAUCAUCUUUAGGCUUUAGUCUUACUCUUACCGUUCACAUUAAUUGAAUGAAUUUAAAAACAUUUUACACAAGGUACGUAACACGAGUAUCAAAUUAUUACCAAGACCUACACUUAUUAUUACUACUCCUCCGGAAAUAUUAAUGUACUAUUAUUAUAGAGUGCUUCUAAUGAUAGUCCUUUACCUAAUGUAAUUGUACAACACUUCCUCGGUCGGUCCAUAUAAAAGAAAGAAUAGUGCUGCUGCUGCUGCUGCUGCAUCAUCUGCAUUAUUUGGUUGGUGAAUGGUGAAUGGUGAUUGGUGAGGGUAUAUAUUAUAUUAUUAUGUCUCAAUAUAUAUAUAUAUAUAUAUACUUGUGGAAUGUGUUGCAUGUACUUGGUGGGAUUAUCGGUCUUGAUCAUAUAAACAUAUAUAUAUUAAUUAACUAAUUCUGUCCUCCUCCGCGGACAUUCCAUUCUUUGUUUUGAAGCAUGUCGCGUAAAGCCUUAACAAAGUACAUAAGACGUGGAGGAGAUUUUUAUAAAUUCAAACCAACGAUUCGUUCAAUUCUAAGCUUAAAUUAAAUAAAUGAAUAUAUAUUCAAAGGCCAUUAUCUAGCUCUACAUUAAUUCCCAAUAAAAGUUAACGUACAUGAGAUCUAGGGAAUACGUACCUAGCUAGUGUUUGAGAUAUAAAGCCGGUAUAAAACCUGAGACUCUAUAACAUAAGAGACUUAUUUUAUUUAUUUUCAAUUAAUUUUAAGUUAAAUAUUUUAAUAUGAUAUCAAAGUAGACAUCAGGCUCAACGAUCCACAUGCUCCACGUCAUUUAAUUGAAAUUGUCCACAUGUUUGGCUCAGAAUUAUACCACACGUGAGGGGGCUUGUUGUGUUGAGAUAUAAAGUCCGACAUGGGACAACUAAGACCUCUAUAACUUGAGAGGCUACUCCACUCAUUAUCAAUUGAUUUUGAAUUGGAUGCUUCAAUAGCUAGUCCCCAUUAAUUCAUUCAUUAUAAUACUAAGUAAAACAUUAGAAAUUAAUUAAUCAAACUUGAAAAUAUUUGUGUAAUACCGGUAUAAUAUUGUAAUGCACUUCCGGAUGAUUUUGGUACAAAUUUUUUGAGCACCAAAGAUUGUCUCUCGUGAAAAUUUUGAAGUAUUCAAGGCUUAAAUCUAUAUACUACAUGCAUGCAAUUGAAAUCAAAGUACAUAAUCGAGUGCAUGCCUUGGGAAUUAAGUAAUUUGGGCGACAAGUUAAAUCUAUAUGGCUUAAUUCAACAAUUCAAUUGUAUGACUUAUUCAAUUUCAGCAAACCCUACUAGUCAAUAGUCAAACCCAAUGCAUAUAUAUAUAUAUGCUGCUACUACUUGAUCACGAAAAAUUAAGUACAAGUCAUCAUAUAUACAUACAUACCAAAAAAUCCAUUUAAAUAGCACAUCGCUCCUCAAUAUAUAUUUAUUAUCCACAUAUUUUUCUCAAACUAGUACGUACGUACUCUUUGCCUAUAUAGGUUAAAAAAAGAUGGGAAAAAAUCUAAGCAUUACUUUGGGCAUUAUAGCAAUAUUACUUCUUGUUCUAACCAUGAUAAAACCACAUGAAGCUUGCAGACUUUUAGAUGAAGAAGAAGAAUUAUGGAGAAAAACAACAAAUAAGAAUAUUGAUCUUCAUCUACAAGCUCUGCCCAAGGGUGAUCCGGCUGGCCCUCCUGCACCCAAUGGCUGCACCUACGUCCCCAGGAGCGGAGGAAACCGCUGCGUGAUCAACCAGAAGGGCUUCGCCGGACACACUGCGGCUCUUUCUCCUCCUCAAGUAUACCCACAGUUCAUGACUCAAUUUAGUGUUGCUUCUUAGCCUAAAUAAAUAAAGUCUUCUAGUACUGAGGCCGCCAAACAUUAAUAACCAAAUACUCCAAAUUAGCAGCAUGAAAACCAAAUGGAUAUAUAAUUCCUUCUGAUUUUACUUUCUUAAUUUCAUUCUUUUAUUUACUUUUUACUUGUACUUAAAUCUCAUUCUUAAUAUAAUAAUAUUGUACGUGUGAUCGAAUGUUGCAAUUGUAUGUUUUUUUACUUUAAUAUAUAACUUUCUUUUCCCCCUUCUCUGGCUCCAUGCCCAUGCAUCUAUCCCAAUGGCUAAAAUAUAGCUUUACAUGGCUCAUUAAUUCUUUAUAUAUACCAAGUAUAGUAUGAUUAAUAUGAAUAACUGAAAUAAAUAAAUAAAUAAAAGGAUAAAUUCUAUUUAUAUUAUAUCUUUUUGCAAUCUCAGACUGAACUUAAAAUGUAUACAAUAUAUAAUUACCAAUGGGCGCACACGUAUCAAACAAUUUCAUAGUAAAUUAACUAUGUGUGAUCAACCUACCUAGCUAUAUAUGAAGUGAUUAAUUAAUUGUAUUAAACUAAGGAGCUAUAUAUGUCAUUAAUUAAUUUGUUAAGUAACCAAUAACAUUAACUAACUCCUCCAGUGUUUUCCAUUCAAAUUUAAUUAAUUAAGAGAACCUUGAUGGAGUAAUAUUUAACUUUUUAUAGUCACCAUGCAUAAUAUUAAUUCCUGUUGCCUUGCCUGACCUUUAAAUGAAGACGUCAAAGAAAAGAUGCAGUUGUAUAUGGUUGAACUUUAACAACUACUCAUUCCAAAAGAAUUAAGCUAGACGUCGGUUAAAGUACUAAUUUAUAUAGUAUUUAUUUUCAAGAAUAUAUAUAUAUAUAUAUAUAUAUAGAGAGAGAGAGAGAGAGAGAGAGAGAGAGGUGAAGAAAUUCGUGUAUUAAGUUUAUUACACGUUUAAAUUAUUUUUCUAACAACAAAACAGUUUAGAUAGGAAAAUAAGGCCGUUUUUUUUUCUUCUUUAUUAUAAUUAUGUCAUUAUCCCAAAGGUAUAAAUCCUUAAUUAGUUGCUAUAUAGUUUCAAACAUGGAGUCUGUCAAAAUAAAGUUUUAAUUUUGAAUUCCAAACUUUUCUUUGACUUUCAACAUUUAAUAGUGAACCAAAUUAAGAAAUACAUACCCAUAACUUAGAAAGUAGCGGUAGUAGUACGUAUAAAGCGAAAAAAUGGAAAAUAAAUACUGUAUUUGGAAAUUAGAAAUUCGUUAGAGACUUGCCUAUGUCUAUCAUGUUUUGAAAAAGUAUAUAUAUUAAUAGUUAGGUCAAAUUUUAGGCUAAUGAUAAUGUCAAAGUGGUUAAAAAUUAAAAUAUUAUUAAAACAAAUAUAAAAUUAUCGUUAAAUACAUAUUUGCUUUAAGAUUCUUAGUAUUAUAAUCUCAUAGAUUAUAAUAUUGGAAUUAUAAUCCUUACAAACAAAUAUAACCUUAAGUAUAAAUAUUAUUUUGACAUUAUCAACAAACAAUUUUCAUUUGUCAAAAAUAUUCCUUUUCUUUAUCCCUAUGACUGUUUGUUUGUAUGGAUUAUACUUGAGAUAGGACUAUUAAUCUCAAUUAUCUUGUUUGUUUUCAAAUUUAGACUUGAGACUAUUAGUCUAGGCUAUAUUUGUUUGUAAGGAUUAUAAUCCCAAGAUUAUUAAUCAUAAAUAAGAUUAUAAUCUCGGGAUUAUAAUUAUAAUAUAAAGACUAUUAAGUAAUUUUAUAAUCCCUAAAGUCUAAAUUUGAAAACAAACAAGACAUUUAGGUUUAAUAGUCUUAUUUCAUGUAUAAUCCUUGCAAACAAACAUAACUUAGGAAUUAUAAAAUAACUUAAUAAUUUUUUAUAAUCCUAAGAUUAUAAAUCCUAAAAUUAAUAUAGUCUUAACAUUAUAAUCACAUAGACAAAGAUAGCCUAUAUUCUCACUGAAUGCUAAUAUUCCCUAGUAUCAUUUCAGGGACAGCAAAAACCGACCUUAACCAUGAGGUGACCAUCCUCCCUCCCAUUAUCGACGGACGGGAGGGUGUUUAAUUUUUCCAUUAGGAAUACUAAUCCGUCAUAUGCUGGUCUCUGUGAAAGACAUUUACAAAAAAUUGAUAUAAAUUUAAUUAAUUUUUGUACAAAUAAAUGAAAUAUACUACUUACUAAUUAUUACUUAAAAACUUUUGAUCAAUUUAUAUGAAUUUUGAAUUAGACUUGCAAUAUAUACUAGUACUACUAGUAUCAUUUAUACAUAAAUCACGUUCAACAAUUUGAUUAUCAAGAAGAAAAACUCUCAGAAAAUAUAAAUCAACAACCUUACUUAAUCUCCCAAAUUCAAGACACAUAAUUCAUAGGUCUAUUCAGUUUGUUUGAACAAAAUCAAACAGCAAUCCAUCUUCAUCCCUAGCUCUCCCCUCUCCGGUUAAAUCUGCAUGCAUUCCUGCAGUUAAGAGAAAGAAUUAAUGUAAAAACCAAAUAACUGUUGAUUCCCUAAUACCUCUCACGAAAUCCAAGUAAACCAAUUUUUCAACUAUCUCAAGUAAAUAUAUAAGAGAAUUUCACCCCUGAAACUAAAUCAUUACAAGAAAAUAGAAUAAGAGGCUCUGCCAAAAGAGUUCACAAAGUUUAAUUGAAUUUGUUCCAUCACUUAGCACACUUACUAGUCUGGCUUCAUAUACGAGUAUAUCAGUUAAAAACAAGUUGAUUUGUUGAGCCAAAGCCUAGUUGUUAGUUAUGAAAUGAUGCAGAAAACAUAGCAAACAUUGAUGAUUUAGAAUUUAGGAAUGAAAUUAGCAUUCUAAUUCAUACCUUUUAGAUUAGUCAUUCCUAUUUUCGAUAUAGGGACAGUUGAAAACUGAAUCCGACUUCUCCAAUAAUUUUCAUAUGAAGUUUACUUCAUACAUACAUGCUCCUACUAUUUAUAUCAUUAACCACCAACUUACAAUAGGCUAUCUUGCACAAAACUUGGGGAAGAGAAAAAAAAAUAAAAAAUCUCAAGGUUUACUUAAUUCGCAUCAAGGCACUUGGACCUUGUACUUUGCUUAAGUUUCCUCAAGGCCCUUGGCCUUACAGAUUUAGUUGUAACUGUCAGUUUCUACUGCUUCAUUCCAAUCUCAGUUCACUCUUCAAAUCACUUGCGCGUCAUUCCAAUCUGAAUUAAAUCUUCUACUUGAACUAUAUUCAAAUUUCAAUUCACUCUCUUAAAUCACUGAAUCAGCUUUUGGGUAAUAAACUGAAUUACCAGCCACACUAAAUUUAAACUAUCUACACAUGCAUACAAUGAAUGAUACACUUGCAUAAGAAGCAUUUGUAAUAUUUUAAACUCAGGCUACUGAAAUUCCUUGACUUGGCCAUUAUAUAGCCU